AAAAAUAAAAGAAUAUACUCAUUAGAGAAAGAAAUCAUAUAUUGGAUAAAGCUGUUGGAUUACAAUGGUUGAUAUUACAAGGGAAACAUCAUCGAAAUGUGAUGCAUAACCUAAAUAUUUUCUUGACAGCGAAACUUACAUAAAAAGCAUCCUUCAACAUCCCUACAACUUAACUAAACUUAACCGGGGAACACCAUCCGACAGAAACAUCAUCCCUACAACUUAACUAAAACUGAUAGCAUCCAUCAUCAUCAUCAUGGACCGGAACAUCAUUAUCAUCAUGAAACGGAACAUCAUCAUCAUUGCAAUAUACUUGCCACGCACCAUUAUAAUCAUCCAUAUAUCUUUUGAAUCUACAAAGAAAAUAACAAAAUGAACUGUUAAUACACAAUGCAUUGACAUGAUGAAUGUAGUGAUAGAGGCAGCAGGAUGUUAGGCACGUACGUACAAAGGUUGAAGGCUAUGCAAUCUUCUUUUUUCUGCAUUAUCGAGAGUAUUGCAGCUUUUGCGACUCCGUACCGAAUCUUCAGUUUUCACAAGUGCCAUAUCGACAUGCACUACCAAGAAUUCAUUUGUAAUUUUAGCAUCAUCAAGUUUAAAUUUAGGAUCACAACUUACAACUAUAGCAAGAGCUACGUCCCUAUUAUGAUUGUGAAAAGAUACCGGCAUGAGUGUUAGUUGUCAUUGAUGACUAAUCACGACGCCACAAUAUAUGACACAGCCUGCAGAAAAACAUGGCUUAAUAAAAUUAUAUGGAGAGUAGCCUAAGUGCUGAUGUGCAUUCAAGGGCAAUUGUGAGUGACAGUACCACUUCUUUUCUCUUCUCCAUUUAGUUAGCAAACUGAACUAAAAAGGUUUUAGUGAUCUGAAACCAAAACAUUUAGCUCUAGUUGGUUUCAGUCAUCCAACAGGAAACAAACAAACCUAAAGGUGCUCACCACGCUUUGGAACAAAACUACAGCCUCAAAUCCACUGAAACGAAUUUACAUAGUUAUCACCAGCCUAGAGAUCCAUUGCUAAUUCUGUACACCUACAGUCAAACUGUUUUGUGUGAACCAACAGAAUUAUUUAUUACUAAAUAAAUUCACUGACCUACAGCCCCAAAUGCUAUAAAUUGGCAUGGACAGCAGCAUAGAACCUAGCACGGCUCAAUGGUCGUGGACACAUUGAGCAGUACCAUGGUAGGGAGAGGGAGAGAGUAUACCUUCCAUGGCAUCGUCCAUGACUUGCUCCACGAACUCGACUUGCUCCAUGGAGUCGCCGUACAUCGAGUUGGUGCGUGUAGCUUCAAAACCAAGGGAAAAAGGUUACAGGUGUCUCAUGCAUCUCUAGAACAGUGCAAAAGAAGUAAACUUCAUCAAGAUCAAUCCGUACAUAAUAAAAGAAGAGCAACCUAUCCUGUUCUAUAUGUACUAGUUACUACCUUGGCAACUUUACAUCUGGCUAAAUGAAUUUAUCCCUGAGUUAGCUAGACUAGUCAUUAAGCCGUGCUUCUGCAUAGGCUAGACAGUUUUAGUUUACCAUAUAUAACUGGAACAUAUUUAUGUGAUAAAAAAAUAUUAGAACCAUAAAUUUUAAAAGAAGCAUACUUUUGACUAACUGAGAAAUAUUACAUGUGAUAUUGUGUUGGCUUCCAUGUGGCUAAAGUAAAUUUAAUUUUAGUGAAGGCAUUUGUACAUACUAUUUAUCAUUCCUAUAAAUAAAGUUUCCAAAUUAUAAUUUGUAUGAAAAAGUCAGGAACCUAAGGCUAGAAAAUAUACAGAGGAUAUUGGUGAAUGUUCUGAUUUCCUUUAAUUACAUAGCAGGAGUCUAAAUCUUGUGUGCUCCUAAUAUUAGCUAUAUGGAAACCCCAAAUGCAUCCCAUGCUUUAGUGAUUUCGGUUCAGAAAAGGAAACCACAGUUUCUAGUUAACAAACAAAACUAAAGCUGAUGUACAUGAAUAUCUGUCUUGUAUAUAUGCAAGGCGUCAUUAAGAAAUGUUUUCUGAAAUAAACACGUACAUCAUUCAAAUAUUCUACAUAAGAUACACAUCAAAUGAUCAUGUUAAGCCACCUAUAAACAUCAAAGUGAUCGAAAUGCUUGCUGGAGGCAGAAGCAGCGGCGAAGCCAGCCUCGGGGAUCUGUGGGGUCAGUGGUAAUUUUGUUGAUUAUUUUUUUCACAAUGAACAGUAAUUGUACAGUGUUUUACGGCUGUUUUUCACAAAAGUUAUGGGGUCAGCUGACCCCACAGCUUACACAUAGCUUCGCCACUGGGCAGAAGUGCAGCACUAUUGUUUGGAACUUUGAUUAUGUGGUGCUGCUCGAGGUGAUCAGAACUGCAGACCACCCCAACUGGAUGCUUUCCUUUCACUCCCUGCAACACAAUCGAGUCAAGAGGAGUACUCAUCAAUACACGCGUACAAAACAUAUUUUUUUCUAGAUAAAAAAAUAGUGAUCAAGUCAAUUGCAUAGUUUUUUCUUCUGUUAUGACCUUAAAGGGUGGAGAAUAGAAAACGAAUCGCCACACGGCCAGUUCCAUCACUCAACAGCCUUGGCGCCAAAGACGCUUGCGGCCGCCUAAUCUGCUUCAAACUACCAUUGCUACACCUCCGCCGCCACAUGGACUAUCGUUAGAUUUAUUUAGUAAUUAGCCUAAAAGAACAUAUGUUGGAUUUUUGCAUUGUAAAAUCCUUAAUAGUACGUAGAAUAUUAUAGAUUGCAAAAGAAAAGGAUUGGGGCCUUGGGGAAUACUGUAAUUAGACUCCGACCUGAUUCCUAACCAUAUACUGUUUUCUGUACAAAUUACCUCAACCACACUGGUUGCUGCUCCAAGACGUAGAUGGGCUUCAGAAUAGCUUACUAGAAAGACAAUCGUUCCCUACAAUUAGACUCCGACCUGAUUCCUAACCAUAUACCUGGUGUUGGGGAAUACUGUAAUUAGACUCCGACCUGAUUCCUAACCAUAUACCUGGUGUUGGGGAACGUAGCAGAAAUUCAAAAUUUUCCUACGUGUCACCAAGAUCUAUCUAUAGAGAGACUAGCAACGAGGGGAAGGAGAGUGCAUCUACAUACCCUUGUAGAUCGCUAAGCGGAAGCGUUCAAGUGAACGGGGUUGAUGAAGUCGUACUUGUCGUGAUUCAAAUCACCGAUGAUCAAGUGCCGAACGCACGGCACCUCCGCGUUCAACACACGUACAGCCCGGUGACGUCUCUCAUGCCUUGAUCCAGCAAGGAGAGAGGGAGAGGUUGAUGAAGAUUCAGCAGCACGACGGCGUGGUGGUGGAUGCAGGGCGUCACAGUAGCAGGGCUUCGCCUAUACUACGAGAGAGAGACGUAACGGGGAGAGGGGGAAGCACCAAAGGCUUAGGUAUGAAAUCCAUCCUCUCCCCCACUAUAUAUAGGAGGGCCAAGGGGGGGGUGGUGCGCAGCCUAGGAGAUCCAAUCUCCUAGGUGCGGCGGCCAGGGGAGGUUUCCCUCCCCCCCAAGGCACUUAGGGGUGCCUUCCACUAGUGGGACUCCUCCCCAUGGAAACCCUAGGCGCAUGGGCCUAUAGGGGCUGGUGCCCUUGGCCCAUAUAGGCCAAGGCGCACUCCCUACAGCCCAUGUGCCCCCCCGGGACAGGUGGCCCCACCCGGUGGGCCCCCGGGACCCCUCCGGUGGUCCCGGUACAAUACCGAUAACCCCGAAACUUGUCCCGAUGGCCGAAACAUCACUUCCUAUAUAUAAUUCUUUACUUCCGGACCAUUCCGGAACUCCUCGUGACGUCCGGGAUCUCAUCCAGGACUCCGAACAACUUUCGGGUUACUGCAUACACAUAUCUUCAUAACCCUAGCGUCACCGAACCUUAAGUGUGUAGACCCUACGGGUUCGGGAGACAUGCAGACAUGACCGAGACGUUCUCCGGUCAAUAACCAACAGCGGGAUCUGGAUACCCAUGAUGGCUCCCACAUGUUCCACGAUGAUCUCAUCGGAUGAACCAUGAUGUCAAGGACUUAAUCAAUCUCGUAUUCAAUUCCCUUUGUCUAUCGGUAUGUUACUUGCCCGAGAUUCGAUCGUCGGUAUCCAAUACCUUGUUCAAUCUCGUUACCGGCAAGUCACUUUACUCGUUCCGUAACACAUCAUCCCGUGAUCAACUCCUUGGUCACAUUGCGCAUAUGAUGAUGUCCUACCGAGUGGGCCCAGAGAUACCUCUCCGUUUACACGGAGUGACAAAUCCCAGUCUCGAUCCGCAUAAAACAAUAGAUACUUUCAGAGAUACCUGUAGUGCACCUUUAUAGUCACCCAGUUACGUUGUGACGUUUGAUACACCCAAAGCACUCCUACGGUAUCCAGGAGUUACACGCUCUCAUGGUCGAAGGAAGAGAUACUUGACAUUGGCAAAGCUCUAGCAAAUGAACUACACGAUCUUUGUGCUAGGCUUAGGAUUUGGGUCUUGUCCAUCACAUGAUUCUCCUAAUGAUGUGAUCCCGUUAUCAACGACAUCCAAUGUCCAUGGUCAGGAAACCGUAACCAUCUAUUGAUCAACGAGCUAGUCAACUAGAGGCUUACUAGGGACAUAGUUGUGGUCUAUGUAUUCACACGUGUAUUAUGAUUUCCGGUUAAUACAGUUAUAGCAUGAAUAAAAGACAAUUAUCAUGAACAAGGAAAUAUAAUAAUAACUAAUUUAUUAUUGACUCUAGGGCAUAUUUCCAACAGUCUCCCACUUGCACUAGAGUCAAUAAUCUAGUUCACAUCACCAUGUGAUUAACACUCACAGGUCACAUCGCCAUGUGACUAAUACCCAAGAGUUUACUAGAGUCAGUAGUCUAGUCCACAUCACUAUGUGAUUAACACUCAAUAAGUUUUAUGUUUGAUCAUGUUGCUUGUGAGAGAGGUUUUAGUCAACGGGUCCGAACCUUUCAGAUCCGUGUGUGCUUUACAAAUCUCUAUGUCAUUUCCUAGAUGUAGCUACCACGCUCUAUUUGGAGCUAUUCCAAAUAACUGUUCUACUUGGAGCUAUUCUAAAUUGUUUCUCCAUUAUACGUAUCCGGUAUCUCUACUCAGAGCUAUCCAGAUAGGUGUCAAGCUUGCAUCGACGUAACCCUUUACGACGAACUCUUUUUACCACCUCCAUAACCGAGAAAAAUUCCUUAGUCCGCUAGUUACUAAGGAUAACUUUGACCGCUGUCCUAUGAUCCAUUUUUGGAUCACUCUUGUACCCCUUGACUGACUCAUGGCAAGGCACACUUCAGGUGCGGUACACAGCAUAGCAUACUGUAGAGCCUACGUCUUAAGCAUAGGGGACGACCUUCGUCCUUUUUCUCUAUUCUGCCGUGGUCGAGCUUUAAGUCUUAACUUCAUACCUUACAACUCAGUCAAGAACUCCUUCUUUGACCGAUCCAUCUUGAACACCUUCAAGAUCAUGUCAUGGUAUGUGCUCAUUUUGAAAGUACUAUUAAGCGUUUUGAUCUAUCCUUAUAGAUCUUGAUGCUCAAUGUUCAAGCAGCUCAAUCCAGGCUUUCCAUUGAAAAACACUUUCCAAAUAACCCUAUAUGCUUUCCAGAAAUUCUACAUCAUUUCUGAUCCAUAAUAUGUCAACAACAUAUACUCAUCGGAAAUUCUAUAGUGCUCCCACUCACUUCUUUGGAAAUACAAGUUUCUCAUAAACUUUGUAUACACCCAAAAUCUUUGAUCAUCUCAUCAAAGCAUACAUUCCAACUCCGAGAUGCUUACUCCAGUCCUCAGAAGGAUAGCUGGAGCUUUGCAUACUUAUUAGCAUCUUUCAGGAUUGACAAAACCUUCCGGUUGUAUCACAUACAACCUUUCCUCAAGAAAAUAGUCGAGGAAACAAUGUUUUGACCUCCUAUCUGCAAGAUUUCAUAAAUAAUGCAGUAAUCGCUAAUAUAAUUCCAAUAGACUCUUAGCAUCGCUACGAGUGAGAAAGUCUCACCGUAGUCAACUCCUUGCCCUUGUCGGAAAACAUCUUAACGACAAGUCGAGCUUUCUUAACGGUGAUACUUACCAUCAUUGUCCGUCUUCCUUUUAAAAUCCAUAUGUACCUAACAGCCUUACGACCAUCAAAUAGUUCUUCCAAAGUCUACACUUUGUUUUCAUACAUGGAUCCUCUCUCGGAUUUUAUGGCCUCGAGCCAUUUAUCGGAAUCUGGGCCCACCAUCGCUUCUCCAUAGCUCGUAGGUUCAUUGUUGUCUAGCAACAUGACUUCCAAGACAGGAUCACGUACCACUCUGAAGUAGUACGCAUCCUUGUCAUCCCACGAGGUUUGGGAGUGACUUGAUCUGAAGUCUCAUGAUCAAUAUCAUAAGCUUCCACUUCAAUUGGUGUAGGUGCCACAGGAACAACUCUUUGUGCCCUGCUAUACACUAGUUGAAGUAACGGUUUAAUAACCUCAUCAAGUCUCCACCAUCCUCCCACUAAAUUCUUUCGAGAGAAACUUUUCCUCGAGAAAGGACCCGAUUCUAGAAACAAUCCCUUAUUGCUUUCGGAUCUGAGACAGGAGGUAUACCCAACUGUUUUGGGUGUCCUAUGAAGAUGCAUUUAUCCGCUUUGGGUUCGAGCUUAUCAACCUGAAACUUUUUCACAUAAGCGUCGCAGUCCCAAACUUUUUAAGAAAUGACAACUUAGGUUUCUCUAAACCAUAGUUCAUACGGUGUCAUCUCAUCGGAAUUACGUGGUGCCCUAUUUAAAGUGAAUGUGGUUGUCUCUAAUGCCUAACCCAUAAACUAUUGUGGUAAUUUGAUAAGAGACAUCAUGGUAUGCAUCAUAUCCAAUAGGGUGCAGUUAUGAUGUACGGACACACCAUCGCACCAUGGUGUUCCUGGCUAUAUUGGUUGUGAAACAACUUCCACAAUGUCUUAAUUCUGUGCCAAACUCGUAAUUCAGAUAUUCAUCUCUAUGAUCAUAUCAUAGAUUUUUAUCCUCUUGUCACGACGAUCUUUCAACUUCACCCUGAAAUUACUUGAACCUUUCAAUAAUUCAGACUCGUGAUUCAUCAAGUAAAUGUACUCAACAUCUACUCAAACCAUCUGUGAAGUAAGAACAUAACGAUAUCCACUACAUGCCUCAGCGCUCAUUGGACUGCACACAUCAAAAUGUAUUACUUCCAACAAGUUGCUUUCUAGUUCCAUUCCAUUGAAAAACGAGGCUUUCAGUCAUCUUGCCCAUGUGGUAUGAUUUGCAUGUCUCAAGUGAUUCAAAAUCAAGCGAGUACAAAACGGUCCAUUUGCAUGGAGUUUCUUCAUGCAUAUAUACCAAUAGACAUGGUUCGCAUGCCUCAAACUUUUCAAAAACGAGUGAGUCCAAAGAUCCAUCAACAUGGAGCUUCUUCAUGCGUUUUAUACCGAUAUGACUUACGUGGCAGUGCCACAAGUAGGUGGUACUAUCAUUACUAUCUUUUGGCAUGAAAAUGUGUAUCACUACGAUCGAGAAUCAAUAAACCAUUCCUUUAGGUGCAAGACCAUUGAAGGUAUUAUCCAAAUAAAUAGAGUAACCAUUAUUCUCCUUAAAUGAAUAACCGUAUUGCGAUAGACAUAAUCCAAUCAUGUCUAUGCUCAACGCAAACACCAAAUGACAAUUAUUCAGGUUUAAUACUAAUCUUGAUGGUAGAGGGAGCGUGCGAUGCUUGAUCACAUCAAGCUUGGAAAAACUUCCAACACAUAUCGUCAGCUCACCUUUAGCUAGUCUCCGUUUAUUCCGUAGCUUUUAUUUCGAGUUACUAACACUUAGCAACCGAACCGGUAUCUAAUACCCUGGUGCUACUAGGAGUACUAGUAAAGUAUACAUUAACAUAAUUUAUAUCCAAUAUACUUCUAUCGACCUUGCCAGCCUUCUCAUCUACCAAGCAUUUAGGGUAAUUCUGCUCCAGUGGCUGUUCCCCUUAUUACAGAAGCACUCAGUCUCGGGUUUGGGUUCAACCUUGGGUUUCUUCACUAGAGCAGCAGCUGAAUUGCCGUUUCAUGAAGUAUCCCUUCGUGCCCUUGCCCUUCUUGAAACUAGUGGUCUCACUGACCAUCAACGAUUGAUGCUCCCUUUUGAUUUCUACUUUCGCGGAGUCAAACAUCGCGAAUAUCUCAAGGAUCAUCAUAUAUGUCCCUGAUAUAUCAUAGUUCAUCACGAAGCUCUAGCAGCUUGGUGGUAAUGACUUCGGAGAAACAUCACUAUCUUAUCUGGAAGAUUAACUCCCACUCGAUUCAAAUGAUUGUCGCACUCAGACAAUCUGAGCACAAGCUCAACAAUUGAGUUUCUCUCCUUAGUUUGCAGGCUAAGAAAAUCGUCGGAGGUCUCAUACCUCUUGACGUGGGCACAAGCCUGAAAUCCUAAUUUCAGCCCUCAAAACAUCUCAUAUGUCUCGUGAUGUUUCAAAAACAUCUUUGGUGCCUCAACUCUAAACCGUUUAACUGAACUAUCACGUAGUUAUCAAAAUGUGUAUGUCAGAUGUUCGCAACAUCCACAGACAACGUUCGAGGUUCAACACACCGAGCGGUGCAUUAAGGACAUAAGCCUUCUAAGAAGCAAUGAGGACAAUCCUCAGUUUACGGACCUAGUCCGCAUAAUUGCUACUAUCAACUUUCAACUAAUUUUUCUCUCGGAACAUAUCUAAACAGUAGAACUAUAGCGUGAGCUACGACAUAAUUUGCAAAAAACCUUUUGACUAUGUUCAGAAUAAUUAAGUUCAUCUUAUGAACUCCCACUCAGAUAGACAUCCCUCUAGUCAUCUAAGUGAUUACAUGAUCCGAGUGAACUAGGCCGUGUCCGAUCAACACGUGAGACGGACUAGUCAACGUCGGUGAACAUCUUCAUGUUGAUCGUAUCUUCUAUACGACUCAUGCUCGACCUUUCGGUCUCUGUGUUCCGAGGCCAUGUCUUCACAUGCUAGGCUCGUCAAGUUAACCCUAAGUGUUUUUGCUGUGUAAAACUGUCUUACACCCGUUGUAUGUGAACGUAAGAAUCUAUCACACCCGAUUAACACGUGGUGCUUCGAAACGACGAACUGUAGCAACGGUGCACAGUUAGGGGAGAACACUUCUUGAAAUUUUAAUGAGGGGUCAUCUUAUUUACUACCGUCGUUCUAAGCAAAUAAGAUGUAUAAGCAUGAUAAACAUCAUAUGCAAUUAAAUAGUAGUGACAUGAUAUGGCCAAUAUCAUGUAGCUCCUUUGAUCUCCAUCUUGGGGCUCCAUGAUCAUCUAUUACAAGAACAUGAUCAAUCUCAUACAUUACAUAUAUCAUUCAUCACAUCCUUUUGGCCAUAUCACAUCACAUAGCAUACCCUGCAAAAACAAGUUAGACGUCCUCUAAUUGUUGUUUGCAUGUUUUACGUGGCUGCUAUGGGUUUCUAGCAAGAACGUUUCUUACCUACGCAAAACCACAACGUGAUAUGCCAAUUGCUAUUUACCCUUCAUAAGGACCCUUUUCAUCGAAUCUGAUCCGACUAAAGUGGGAGAGACAGACACCCGCUAGCCACCUUAUGCAACUAGUGCAUGUUUGUCGGUGGAACCGGUCUCACGUAAGAGUACGUGUAAGGUUGGUCCGGGCCGCUUCAUCCCACGAUGCCGCCGAAUCAAGAUAAGACUAGUAACGGCAAGCAUAUAGAACAACAUCAACGCCCACAACUACUUUGUGUUCUACUCGUGCAAAGAAUCUACGCAAUAGACCUAGCUCAUGAUGCCACUGUUGGGGAACGUAGCAGAAAUUCAAAAUUUUCCUACGUGUCACCAAGAUCUAUCUAUAGAGAGACUAGCAACGAGGGGAAGGAGAGUGCAUCUACAUACCCUUGUAGAUCGCUAAGCGGAAGCGUUCAAGUGAACGGGGUUGAUGAAGUCGUACUUGUCGUGAUUCAAAUUACCGAUGAUCAAGUGCCGAACGCACGGCACCUCCGCGUUCAACACACGUACAGCCCGGUGACGUCUCUCAUGCCUUGAUCCAGCAAGGAGAGAGGGAGAGGUUGAUGAAGAUUCAGCAGCACGACGGCGUGGUGGUGGAUGCAGGGCGUCACAGUAGCAGGGCUUCGCCUAUACUACGAGAGAGAGACGUAACGGGGAGAGGGGGAAGCACCAAAGGCUUAGGUAUGAAAUCCAUCCUCUCCCCCACUAUAUAUAGGAGGGCCAAGGGGGGGUGGUGCGCAGCCUAGGAGAUCCAAUCUCCUAGGUGCGGCGGCCAGGGGAGGUUUCCCUCCCCCCCAAGGCACUUAGGGGUGCCUUCCACUAGUGGGACUCCUCCCCAUGGAAACCCUAGGUGCAUGGGCCUAUAGGGGCUGGUGCCCUUGGCCCAUAUAGGCCAAGGCGCACUCCCUACAGCCCAUGUGCCCCCCCGGGACAGGUGGCCCCACCCGGUGGGCCCCCGGGACCCCUCCGGUGGUCCCGGUACAAUACCGAUAACCCCGAAACUUGUCCCGAUGGCCGAAACAUCACUUCCUAUAUAUAAUUCUUUACUUCCGGACCAUUCCGGAACUCCUCGUGACGUCCGGGAUCUCAUCCAGGACUCCGAACAACUUUCGGGUUACUGCAUACACAUAUCUUCAUAACCCUAGCGUCACCGAACCUUAAGUGUGUAGACCCUACGGGUUCGGGAGACAUGCAGACAUGACCGAGACGUUCUCCGGUCAAUAACCAACAGCGGGAUCUGGAUACCCAUGAUGGCUCCCACAUGUUCCACGAUGAUCUCAUCGGAUGAACCAUGAUGUCAAGGACUUAAUCAAUCCCGUAUUCAAUUCCCUUUGUCUAUCGGUAUGUUACUUGCCCGAGAUUCGAUCGUCGGUAUCCAAUACCUUGUUCAAUCUCGUUACCGGCAAGUCACUUUACUCGUUCCGUAACACAUCAUCCCGUGAUCAACUCCUUGGUCACAUUGCGCAUAUGAUGAUGUCCUACCGAGUGGGCCCAGAGAUACCUCUCCGUUUACACGGAGUGACAAAUCCCAGUCUCGAUCCGCAUAAAACAAUAGAUACUUUCGGAGAUACCUGUAGUGCACCUUUAUAGUCACCCAGUUACGUUGUGACGUUUGAUACACCCAAAGCACUCCUACGGUAUCCAGGAGUUACACGCUCUCAUGGUCGAAGGAAGAGAUACUUGACAUUGGCAAAGCUCUAGCAAAUGAACUACACGAUCUUUGUGCUAGGCUUAGGAUUUGGGUCUUGUCCAUCACAUGAUUCUCCUAAUGAUGUGAUCCCGUUAUCAACGACAUCCAAUGUCCAUGGUCAGGAAACCGUAACCAUCUAUUGAUCAACGAGCUAGUCAACUAGAGGCUUACUAGGGACAUAGUUGUGGUCUAUGUAUUCACACGUGUAUUAUGAUUUCCGGUUAAUACAGUUAUAGCAUGAAUAAAAGACAAUUAUCAUGAACAAGGAAAUAUAAUAAUAACUAAUUUAUUAUUGCCUCUAGGGCAUAUUUCCAACAGUCUCCCACUUGCACUAGAGUCAAUAAUCUAGUUCACAUCACCAUGUGAUUAACACUCACAGGUCACAUCGCCAUGUGACUAAUACCCAAGAGUUUACUAGAGUCAGUAGUCUAGUCCACAUCACUAUGUGAUUAACACUCAAUAAGUUUUAUGUUUGAUCAUGUUGCUUGUGAGAGAGGUUUUAGUCAACGGGUCCGAACCUUUCAGAUCCGUGUGUGCUUUACAAAUCUCUAUGUCAUUUCCUAGAUGUAGCUACCACGCUCUAUUUGGAGCUAUUCCAAAUAACUGUUCUACUUGGAGCUAUUCUAAAUUGUUUCUCCAUUAUACGUAUCCGGUAUCUCUACUCAGAGCUAUCCAGAUAGGUGUCAAGCUUGCAUCAACGUAACCCUUUACGACGAACUCUUUUUACCACCUCCAUAACCGAGAAAAAUUCCUUAGUCCGCUAGUUACUAAGGAUAACUUUGACCGCUGUCCUAUGAUCCAUUUUUGGAUCACUCUUGUACCCCUUGACUGACUCAUGGCAAGGCACACUUCAGGUGCGGUACACAGCAUAGCAUACUGUAGAGCCUACGUCUUAAGCAUAGGGGACGACCUUCGUCCUUUUUCUCUAUUCUGCCGUGGUCGAGCUUUAAGUCUUAACUUCAUACCUUACAACUCAGUCAAGAACUCCUUCUUUGACCGAUCCAUCUUGAACACCUUCAAGAUCAUGUCAUGGUAUGUGCUCAUUUUGAAAGUACUAUUAAGCGUUUUGAUCUAUCCUUAUAGAUCUUGAUGCUCAAUGUUCAAGCAGCUCAAUCCAGGCUUUCCAUUGAAAAACACUUUCCAAAUAACCCUAUAUGCUUUCCAGAAAUUCUACAUCAUUUCUGAUCCAUAAUAUGUCAACAACAUAUACUCAUCGGAAAUUCUAUAGUGCUCCCACUCACUUCUUUGGAAAUACAAGUUUCUCAUAAACUUUGUAUACACCCAAAAUCUUUGAUCAUCUCAUCAAAGCAUACAUUCCAACUCCGAGAUGCUUACUCCAGUCCUCAGAAGGAUAGCUGGAGCUUUGCAUACUUAUUAGCAUCUUUCAGGAUUGACAAAACCUUCCGGUUGUAUCACAUACAACCUUUCCUCAAGAAAAUAGUCGAGGAAACAAUGUUUUGACCUCCUAUCUGCAAGAUUUCAUAAAUAAUGCAGUAAUCGCUAAUAUAAUUCCAAUAGACUCUUAGCAUCGCUACGAGUGAGAAAGUCUCACCGUAGUCAACUCCUUGCCCUUGUCGGAAAACAUCUUAACGACAAGUCGAGCUUUCUUAACGGUGAUACUUACCAUCAUUGUCCGUCUUCCUUUUAAAAUCCAUAUGUACCUAACAGCCUUACGACCAUCAAAUAGUUCUUCCAAAGUCUACACUUUGUUUUCAUACAUGGAUCCUCUCUCGGAUUUUAUGGCCUCGAGCCAUUUAUCGGAAUCUGGGCCCACCAUCGCUUCUCCAUAGCUCGUAGGUUCAUUGUUGUCUAGCAACAUGACUUCCAAGACAGGAUCACGUACCACUCUGAAGUAGUACGCAUCCUUGUCAUCCCACGAGGUUUGGGAGUGACUUGAUCUGAAGUCUCAUGAUCAAUAUCAUAAGCUUCCACUUCAAUUGGUGUAGGUGCCACAGGAACAACUCUUUGUGCCCUGCUAUACACUAGUUGAAGUAACGGUUUAAUAACCUCAUCAAGUCUCCACCAUCCUCCCACUAAAUUCUUUCGAGAGAAACUUUUCCUCGAGAAAGGACCCGAUUCUAGAAACAAUCCCUUAUUGCUUUCGGAUCUGAGACAGGAGGUAUACCCAACUGUUUUGGGUGUCCUAUGAAGAUGCAUUUAUCCGCUUUGGGUUCGAGCUUAUCAACCUGAAACUUUUUCACAUAAGCGUCGCAGUCCCAAACUUUUUAAGAAAUGACANNNNNNNNNNNNNNNNNNNNNNNNNNNNNNNNNNNNNNNNNNNNNNNNNNNNNNNNNNNNNNNNNNNNNNNNNNNNNNNNNNNNNNNNNNNNNNNNNNNNNNNNNNNNNNNNNNNNNNNNNNNNNNNNNNNNNNNNNNNNNNNNNNNNNNNNNNNNNNNNNNNNNNNNNNNNNNNNNNNNNNNNNNNNNNNNNNNNNNNNNNNNNNNNNNNNNNNNNNNNNNNNNNNNNNNNNNNNNNNNNNNNNNNNNNNNNNNNNNNNNNNNNNNNNNNNNNNNNNNNNNNNNNNNNNNNNNNNNNNNNNNNNNNNNNNNNNNNNNNNNNNNNNNNNNNNNNNNNNNNNNNNNNNNNNNNNNNNNNNNNNNNNNNNNNNNNNNNNNNNNNNNNNNNNNNNNNNNNNNNNNNNNNNNNNNNNNNNNNNNNNNNNNNNNNNNNNNNNNNNNNNNNNNNNNNNNNNNNNNNNNNNNNNNNNNNNNNNNNNNNNNNNNNNNNNNNNNNNNNNNNNNNNNNNNNNNNNNNNNNNNNNNNNNNNNNNNNNNNNNNNNNNNNNNNNNNNNNNNNNNNNNNNNNNNNNNNNNNNNNNNNNNNNNNNNNNNNNNNNNNNNNNNNNNNNNNNNNNNNNNNNNNNNNNNNNNNNNNNNNNNNNNNNNNNNNNNNNNNNNNGCAUGGGCCUAUAGGGGCUGGUGCCCUUGGCCCAUAUAGGCCAAGGCGCACUCCCUACAGCCCAUGUGCCCCCCCGGGACAGGUGGCCCCACCCGGUGGGCCCCCGGGACCCCUCCGGUGGUCCCGGUACAAUACCGAUAACCCCGAAACUUGUCCCGAUGGCCGAAACAUCACUUCCUAUAUAUAAUUCUUUACUUCCGGACCAUUCCGGAACUCCUCGUGACGUCCGGGAUCUCAUCCAGGACUCCGAACAACUUUCGGGUUACUGCAUACACAUAUCUUCAUAACCCUAGCGUCACCGAACCUUAAGUGUGUAGACCCUACGGGUUCGGGAGACAUGCAGACAUGACCGAGACGUUCUCCGGUCAAUAACCAACAGCGGGAUCUGGAUACCCAUGAUGGCUCCCACAUGUUCCACGAUGAUCUCAUCGGAUGAACCAUGAUGUCAAGGACUUAAUCAAUCNNNNNNNNNNNNNNNNNNNNNNNNNNNNNNNNNNNNNNNNNNNNNNNNNNNNNNNNNNNNNNNNNNNNNNNNNNNNNNNNNNNNNNNNNNNNNNNNNNNNNNNNNNNNNNNNNNNNNNNNNNNNNNNNNNNNNNNNNNNNNNNNNNNNNNNNNNNNNNNNNNNNNNNNNNNNNNNNNNNNNNNNNNNNNNNNNNNNNNNNNNNNNNNNNNNNNNNNNNNNNNNNNNNNNNNNNNNNNNNNNNNNNNNNNNNNNNNNNNNNNNNNNNNNNNNNNNNNNNNNNNNNNNNNNNNNNNNNNNNNNNNNNNNNNNNNNNNNNNNNNNNNNNNNNNNNNNNNNNNNNNNNNNNNNNNNNNNNNNNNNNNNNNNNNNNNNNNNNNNNNNNNNNNNNNNNNNNNNNNNNNNNNNNNNNNNNNNNNNNNNNNNNNNNNNNNNNNNNNNNNNNNNNNNNNNNNNNNNNNNNNNNNNNNNNNNNNNNNNNNNNNNNNNNNNNNNNNNNNNNNNNNNNNNNNNNNNNNNNNNNNNNNNNNNNNNNNNNNNNNNNNNNNNNNNNNNNNNNNNNNNNNNNNNNNNNNNNNNNNNNNNNNNNNNNNNNNNNNNNNNNNNNNNNNNNNNNNNNNNNNNNNNNNNNNNNNNNNNNNNNNNNNNNNNNNNNNNNNNNNNNNNNNNNNNNNNNNNNNNNNNNNNNNNNNNNNNNNNNNNNNNNNNNNNNNNNNNNNNNNNNNNNNNNNNNNNNNNNNNNNNNNNNNNNNNNNNNNNNNNNNNNNNNNNNNNNNNNNNNNNNNNNNNNNNNNNNNNNNNNNNNNNNNNNNNNNNNNNNNNNNNNNNNNNNNNNNNNNNNNNNNNNNNNNNNNNNNNNNNNNNNNNNNNNNNNNNNNNNNNNNNNNNNNNNNNNNNNNNNNNNNNNNNNNNNNNNNNNNNNNNNNNNNNNNNNNNNNNNNNNNNNNNNNNNNNNNNNNNNNNNNNNNNNNNNNNNNNNNNNNNNNNNNNNNNNNNNNNNNNNNNNNNNNNNNNNNNNNNNNNNNNNNNNNNNNNNNNNNNNNNNNNNNNNNNNNNCGAGUGAACUAGGCCGUGUCCGAUCAACACGUGAGACGGACUAGUCAACGUCGGUGAACAUCUUCAUGUUGAUCGUAUCUUCUAUACGACUCAUGCUCGACCUUUCGGUCUCUGUGUUCCGAGGCCAUGUCUUCACAUGCUAGGCUCGUCAAGUUAACCCUAAGUGUUUUUGCUGUGUAAAACUGUCUUACACCCGUUGUAUGUGAACGUAAGAAUCUAUCACACCCGAUUAACACGUGGUGCUUCGAAACGACGAACUGUAGCAACGGUGCACAGUUAGGGGAGAACACUUCUUGAAAUUUUAAUGAGGGGUCAUCUUAUUUACUACCGUCGUUCUAAGCAAAUAAGAUGUAUAAGCAUGAUAAACAUCAUAUGCAAUUAAAUAGUAGUGACAUGAUAUGGCCAAUAUCAUGUAGCUCCUUUGAUCUCCAUCUUGGGGCUCCAUGAUCAUCUAUUACAAGAACAUGAUCAAUCUCAUACAUUACAUAUAUCAUUCAUCACAUCCUUUUGGCCAUAUCACAUCACAUAGCAUACCCUGCAAAAACAAGUUAGACGUCCUCUAAUUGUUGUUUGCAUGUUUUACGUGGCUGCUAUGGGUUUCUAGCAAGAACGUUUCUUACCUACGCAAAACCACAACGUGAUAUGCCAAUUGCUAUUUACCCUUCAUAAGGACCCUUUUCAUCGAAUCUGAUCCGACUAAAGUGGGAGAGACAGACACCCGCUAGCCACCUUAUGCAACUAGUGCAUGUUUGUCGGUGGAACCGGUCUCACGUAAGAGUACGUGUAAGGUUGGUCCGGGCCGCUUCAUCCCACGAUGCCGCCGAAUCAAGAUAAGACUAGUAACGGCAAGCAUAUAGAACAACAUCAACGCCCACAACUACUUUGUGUUCUACUCGUGCAAAGAAUCUACGCAAUAGACCUAGCUCAUGAUGCCACUGUUGGGGAACGUAGCAGAAAUUCAAAAUUUUCCUACGUGUCACCAAGAUCUAUCUAUAGAGAGACUAGCAACGAGGGGAAGGAGAGUGCAUCUACAUACCCUUGUAGAUCGCUAAGCGGAAGCGUUCAAGUGAACGGGGUUGAUGAAGUCGUACUUGUCGUGAUUCAAAUCACCGAUGAUCAAGUGCCGAACGCACGGCACCUCCGCGUUCAACACACGUACAGCCCGGUGACGUCUCCCAUGCCUUGAUCCAGCAAGGAGAGAGGGAGAGGUUGAUGAAGAUUCAGCAGCACGACGGCGUGGUGGUGGAUGUAGGGCGUCACAGUAGCAGGGCUUCGCCUAUACUACGAGAGAGAGACGUAACGGGGAGAGGGGGAAGCACCAAAGGCUUAGGUAUGAAAUCCAUCCUCUCCCCCACUAUAUAUAGGAGGGCCAAGGGGGGGUGGUGCGCAGCCUAAGAGAUCCAAUCUCCUAGGUGCGGCGGCCAGGGGAGGUUUCCCUCCCCCCCAAGGCACUUAGGGGUGCCUUCCACUAGUGGGACUCCUCCCCAUGGAAACCCUAGGCGCAUGGGCCUAUAGGGGCUGGUGCCCUUGGCCCAUAUAGGCCAAGGCGCACUCCCUACAGCCCAUGUGCCCCCCCGGGACAGGUGGCCCCACCCGGUGGGCCCCCGGGACCCCUCCGGUGGUCCCGGUACAAUACCGAUAACCCCGAAACUUGUCCCGAUGGCCGAAACAGCACUUCCUAUAUAUAAUUCUUUACUUCCGGACCAUUCCGGAACUCCUCGUGAUGUCCGGGAUCUCAUCCGGGACUCCGAACAACUUUCGGGUUACUGCAUACACAUAUCUUCAUAAUCCUAGCGUCACCGAACCUUAAGUGUGUAGACCCUACGGGUUCGGGAGACAUGCAGACAUGACCGAGACGUUCUCCGGUCAAUAACCAACAGCGGGAUCUGGAUACCCAUGAUGGCUCCCACAUGUUCCAUGAUGAUCUCAUCGGAUGAACCAUAAUGUCAAGGACUUAAUCAAUCCCGUAUUCAAUUCCCUUUGUCUAUCGGUAUGUUACUUGCCCGAGAUUCGAUCGUCGGUAUCCAAUACCUUGUUCAAUCUCGUUACCGGCAAGUCACUUUACUCGUUCCGUAACACAUCAUCCCGUGAUCAACUCCUUGGUCACAUUGCGCAUAUGAUGAUGUCCUACCGAGUGGGCCCAGAGAUACCUCUCCGUUUACACGGAGUGACAAAUCCCAGUCUCGAUCCGCAUAAAACAAUAGAUACUUUCGGAGAUACCUGUAGUGCACCUUUAUAGUCACCCAGUUACGUUGUGACGUUUGAUACACCCAAAGCACUCCUACGGUAUCCAGGAGUUACACGCUCUCAUGGUCAAAGGAAGAGAUACUUGACAUUGGCAAAGCUCUAGCAAAUGAACUACACGAUCUUUGUGCUAGGCUUAGGAUUUGGGUCUGGUCCAUCACAUGAUUCUCCUAAUGAUGUGAUCCCGUUAUCAACGACAUCCAAUGUCCAUGGUCAGGAAACCGUAACCAUCUAUUGAUCAACGAGCUAGUUAACUAGAGGCUUACUAGGGACAUAGUUGUGGUCUAUGUAUUCACACGUGUAUUACGAUUUCCGGUUAAUACAGUUAUAGCAUGAAUAAAAGACAAUUAUCAUGAACAAGGAAAUAUAAUAAUAACUAAUUUAUUAUUGCCUCUAGGGCAUAUUUCCAACAGUUACCCUAGAAAGAAUAUGCAACUCGGGGUUAAUUUGAAGCCACUACUGGUCCUGAUGUGCUACGAACCAGAGCAGAGGGGAGGAGUGGACCAACUCACCCGAGGCCAGAGGAGCAGGAGGAAGCUCCAUGGCUGCUUUGUCCCGAGCAGCUACAAGGAUGUCCACCGGCGGUUCCUCCCUGCACGUGUACAGAAGAAGAGAAGAGCAGGUUAGAGAAAGGGGGAGAGAGAGAGGAUGAAGCCAGGGGAGGGGAUGCACUCACCGGACGGGAGGUGGAUGACGGCCACCGGAGCCGACGCCUGAAACCCUAAUAGCCAUGGGUGGAGGGUCGCGGGUGGGCUUGGGUGACCGCGAGCGCCGUAUCUAACCGGAUGGGAGGGAGCCGCGGUGCGAGGGCGCCUCAGGCUGUGCUUCACAGUGGCGGGGUUCGCCGGACGUCGCCUGAGUCAACCGCCGCAGGUGGUGCAGAAGGAGCCGCGUGAAGAGAGGGAGAUGGGACGCGAGAGGGAUGAGUGGGUGGGGAUUGGGCGGAUCCGGCAGCCACUGGAGCUGCGAGGUGGGAGGAGCGGAGGGGGAGGGCCGGCGGCAAGGUGGGUCGGAGGAGGGAUACGAGGCGAUGGAUGGCGGCGAUUUGGGAGAGAUGAGGGGAAUCCAGGACUCUAUUUCUCGUGCGUCUCUCUCUUUCCUUUUCUCUGUUUUUCUUUCAUAUAUGUACCAUGAAAGGGUCAUGGGCUGUAACUUUACAACGCAUAUGCUCCAACCCUUAUAUACGUAUCUAUUAUGAAUUUUGCAACAUAUAGUCAAACUGUUGUAGAGUUUUUGUUGCUUUAUAAGGGGUAUUUUUGUAGUGAACGCUAACACCCACACGUGUGGUGGGAGCCAAACCCGCGCACACGCCCUAUAACACAUAGACUGCGCCACGUCACCGCAUGCACGCAUGUGAAAAUCUUUUUGGAUUUUCAAUUUUUAAAAUGGUUUAUCUCUUAAAUAAAAGAUUCGAUUGAAGAUCCGUUUUCACCAUUAAAUCUCUCGGAUGAGAUCUUGGAAAAUAGAUCUCAUAUCAAUAUAUUUCGACGAUUUUUUUUGUUAAAAGUUGACAUGUCUAUUGCAUAUGAAUUGCCAUGAUAUUUACACUGAAGUUGCCAUGAUAUGUUUUAGCUAUUUUCUUUUAUAUUUAAAAUUAAAUUUUAACAUAUUAUAAAACGGGGAAUUAAGAAACUAGACUUGCCAUGAAUAAUAAACUAAAAUUGCCAUGAUACCUGCACUUAAAAUUGCCAUGGUUCAUACAAAAAUUAAUUUUUAUGGUCAAAGUACUGAAAUUGCCAUCAUAAAAAAACUAAAAUUGCCAUGCUCUACAAACUAAAAUUGCCACAUUGCAACUUUAGUUUAAGCACUAUAGCAAUUACAAUGUAAACAUCAUGGCAACUUUUAGGCAAAAAAAAAUUCGUCGAAACAUAAACAUGGAGUUUAGUUUUGAAGAUCUCGUCGAGAUGGAUUUAAUGGUGAAAACAGAUUUUUAAUUCGAUUUUGUAAUUAGGACAUAAAACAUUUUUAAGCCGAAACCAAAAAGAUCCUUGCUGUUGUCAUCUAUUCAUACGUGGCAAAAUGAGUGGUGAUGAAGGCGUGUAGGCGAUGUGCAAGAUGCCACACGUGUGGGCGUUAGUUUUUUAUUUUUUAAUAUAGUACAGACGCAUGCGCUUAUAUGUACGCGCAUACACUCAUCCCUAUGAACACACACGCACACUCUAUUCCUAUUAGCAUUUUUGAGAGACUAAGCCGGCAUAUCAUUUUGAGAUUGACGCGCGUAGGUGGCUCCUCCCGGGAUGUCGUUCCAACCUCAGUGCCGACGCUAGGGAGCUUGUCCAGGUAUCACCAUGUGUUCGCCUUCUUCUACCUCUUUUGUCUCUACCCAUCUGUUUGUUUGUUCGUUUUUCUUUUGGGCGGCAUGGUGGUAAGUGGAUCAGGAACAAGACAGAAAUAAACACAGCCGUUGAUAGAAAAUUUUCCGUGGUGAUUGAGCAACUAGUCUUUUUUAGAAUAGAAAAGAGAGGGAGAGAGAGAUCAAAGUGAGUGGAAAGGGGGAGGAAAUGAAGCGACCGUCCGUGGAUGAAACGGCUCGCCUUGAAGGAAGGAAGAUGAAUCUCAUCGUUUCAAGUCCAAGGUUGGUUUGUUUCUUUGGCCCUGUGUUUCUCUCUUUCUUUCUUUCUUUCUUUCUUUCUUUCUUAAAUGAGAUGAGAUGAGAAAACAGCAACAAUAGGAAAAAAAGGCAGACUAGAGCAGAGCAAGAAAAUAAAAACAGAGAAACCCAAGCUAGGAGCCUUUGAUUUGCCUUGCCUCAUGUACGCGCACGAUUCUUUUAAAGAAGUUCUUUUUUGGAUUUUUUUAGUGAUCACUUGUACCUAGUUAUUCACAUUUGCUUUAGCCGAGUGCUAUCCCUUGUAGUUAUUGUAUUUUUGUUGGAGAAAUCAAUAUUUUUCUCCUUGCAUUUCGAAAAAUGUGGAAACAUUGUAUUUGUAAUAUUCCAUUUUUAUUUGUUGUUUUACCUAUACUUCUUGGUGUUCAAAUGAAAAACUUGGUCUGCUACACUUUUUUUCCUGAGUUUCUACCAAUUUCUUGCAUUUUUUUUCUUACUUUUCGUAUUGCCGGUCUACUAGAACUUUGCUGAUCUACUAGAACUUUGUUCGUUGUGGUUGCCCAUACGAACGGCAACUGCCGCUGCGACCGACUAUUCCAUAUCGAUCGGGGAAGAGGUUAAGGCCCUGUUUGGAUCCCCUCCGCUCCCCAACUGCAGCUCCGGGAGCGGAGGGAGCGCCAGCGCAAUCAGGCGGAGUGGCUCGAACCCAACUCCUCGCGCGGAGCGGAGUUGACGGUCUGGAGAGCUACCGAACAUGCUUUAAAUUGCAGGAGCAGACCAUGUCCAUGACCGGCAACCCCGGCGGUGCUGAGUGGCCUGACCGCAUCGGCGCCACACAUCUCCCACUACCUCAUCAACACCAUCCCUUGUGAUGCCCAACCAGAGCUCCCUGCCUGGAUCUCGAUCUAGCAUGCCCUGCCCACCCACCCAACGAUAUGCGUGUGCUAUCGGACGAAAAGAACACGUUUCACAUGUGAAACGCGUGUGUGAUAGAAAUACCUAGCACACACACUUAUGAAAUGGACACAUUGGCGAUACUAGAGGCACCACACACAUUUUGUAGUUUUUUACUAUGUGGGAUAUUGUACCAAUGGCAAACAAAUUGGUAGAUUAAAUGUUUGUGAUAUCCAUCUUUUGCACAUGAGUAUCUCUGAAUAAUUGUUUCGGAUGCCUGACGGAUUGCAAACAUAAUGUGAAGUUGUACGUGUGGGAUAGUCCACGACUUCGCAUACGAUUACUUUAGAAAAUCGUCACCAACCGCUCGACCUAUCCCAGAUGAUUUAUCUGGGUCAUGUGUGAUGGACCCCCUUAUCGCCCACACAUGCAAAACCACGGUUUAUAACUUGUCUCAAAAAUGGGGUAAAAACCGUUUGUAUAAGAGUUCAUGUACCAGUGUUUCUUUGUACUAUUGGUAAUUACUGUAGAUAUAAAUAAUCUAAAAUUAAUUUUAUUUCACCAUCAAUUUAUUGUAUGUAAUUACUAUAAAUGUACUAGAUCCGUAAUUUGCAAAUUAAUUUAAGUCAUUUUAGGCUUAGAGAUAUGUAUUGAAAGAAGUCAAGUUAAGUUAUUGUAACUUCUCUAACUUUUCUUCUGUAUGUUAGAGGAUCUGGUUGCCUCGUGGGUGUGUUAGCGAGUUACUCUAGAAUCAUGUUGUCUUUACAUGCCUUUUGUUCCCUAAUUUAUGUUUUCAUUGCUCAAGAAAUAAAAUUAUUUUCCAUGUGUUCCCGGCAAGCAAGCUAGAUAAUCCUGCUAUGAUAUGAUAAUUAUUUUUGUUAAGAUAAUAAAUGCAUGCUUGAAUGCCAAUGAUUGCUUUGCUUGGCAUAUAAUUGUAAGAUACAUGUACUCAAUCAUAAAUAACUAUUGAGUAAAUACGAUUUGAUAAAGUGCACACCGGGGGAUGGCGGCUAAUGCCCUCUUUCUACCCCAUAACAGUAUUAAUGUUAUGUUUUGCAUAUCAUAUUUUUUUUGUUCGUUUGACCACCCAAACGGACAAAAGGCCAAUAGCCCAAAAGAAAUACCAAUUGUAUUGAACGAGAACAAAUGCACGUGCUAAACUAUUAUGUCCUUUGUUUAAUACAUUCUUUACUUUUUUUAUAAAGGACAUUUUCACUCAAUCGACUUGAUAUUACCAAACUAAGUGAAUGCCCGGCAUCUGCAUAGCAUGAUGCACACAAACAUGUCCAAUAGAACAGAACCAAAAUGAUAAUACUAUUUUAUACCAAAAAUUUAAAAAGGGUGUCCGAAGAGGGGUAAGGUCCUAUACGAAGAACACACCGUCAUCUAUAUACUCCAGCCCGGUAUACACCAUCAUAGAAAUGUCUCAGUCCUCCGGCUUAUGCAUGAUAACCGAGCAUGGAGCCAUCAUGUACAUACAUCAAUAACCUGCACAAGAGGUGAAACACAUUUUUCUAAUUAGAAACCACAUAGUUCCUGGUAAGCCACAUAACCCAACAUAAGGCUGCUGCUCCCACAAGAAUGUGUUGUACCCUGCAACCAGUUGUUGAACAUAUUACACACACUGCAACCAGGGGGGCACACUACACGAGCAAAAUUACACAAAAAAAGGUGUUUAAUAGACUCAGCGUGUUGCCAAAGGACACAUGUCAAGUUACCUUGCCAAUUGUUGUGUGCCAGCUUAUCCAUAGUCAAGAUCAGACCUUUGUUUAAAAGCCAAAGGAAUAUCUUCACUCGAAGAGGUAGUUUGAGAUUCAAAUGUUUAUUAUUAUCAACAAGAACAUUGAUGUGGGCAGUCGCCUCAUAUAAGGACUUGACUGAAAACCUACCAUUCUGAUGCAAGUUUCCUCACAAUCCGUCUGGUUCGUUUGACAAUUGAGUGUGCUUUAAACAUGCCCUAAUAGGACAGAGAAAGAAAUAUCAGUGUUUGCUUGACCCAAGACCUAUGCGAUUGUGAAAAAUUUAUGCCUAGCAAUCCGAUACAAGCUCGGGUAUUGCACCAUAAGUGAAGUGGCAUCAAGCAAAUUAUCCUCCCAGAACCUUAACUCGAAAGCCGCCCCUAACCAAAAAAGUGCCAAAUUGGAAAAAGCUAAAAACCUAUCCCUGGCCUUCAUCAUGUCAUACCAAAAAUGUGAAUCACGGGUUUUUUGUUGGAGUUGAGAAAUGGCUUUGGUACCCACAUACUUGUGACAGACGUUUUCCUGCUACACUCCAUUCUCAGAUAGUAGUUUAUAUACCCAUUUACUGAGAAGGGCAAUGUUUUUAUUCUCUAGNNNNNNNNNNNNNNNNNNNNNNNNNNNNNNNNNNNNNNNNNNNNNNNNNNNNNNNNNNNNNNNNNNNNNNNNNNNNNNNNNNNNNNNNNNNNNNNNNNNNNNNNNNNNNNNNNNNNNNNNNNNNNNNNNNNNNNNNNNNNNNNNNNNNNNNNNNNNNNNNGCCCCUUCACUUUUAGGACCACACAACACAUUUCACAUAGCUACCUGACAUUUUUUCGAUUCAUUAUCACACUGCCAGAAAAGUCUGGAUCUAAAGUAGUCCAAUCUUUGGAGAACCCCUUUCGGUAGGUGGAAGAAGGACAACAUGUAUAAAACCAUAUUUUUUAGGAGGGAAUUGAUCAAGACCAACCGACCCCGAUAAGACAAGAGUUUGGCUUUCAACCUGCCAGUCGUUUCUCAAGUGUCUCUACCACAUAUUUUCACUGAACGACAGUUAGAUGACGAUAGUAAAUUGGAAUACCCAGGGAUAGAAUAGCGAACUGUCUAAGCUGGCAACCAAAAAUCUCAGCAUACUCAAAUGCCAAAAGUGUGGCCUCACCGAAGCAGAAAAGUUUUACUCCCAUGGAAAUUAAUUUGAAGAAAUGAAAGCUCCUCAAAAGCACAUAAAAAGAGGUUGAGGUUUCUAGCUUUAUCUAGGUCAUGAUCCCCAAAAAGUAUGGUGUCAUUUGCAUACUAUACAAUAGACCAGCCAUCUUCUUUUUUCGAAAAGGAUGAUUACCCUGAGUGAUGCAGACAGACAUCUUUAUUACAUUAUUCAACAAGGUCUUACUAAAUAAAAUCAAAAAUUAAUCCAAUGCCACCUUUCUGGCGAAAAAUGUCGCCCUACCUACAAAAUUGAUGAUGUGCCCUGACCUCGCGCCAUGCACACCAAGAAAUCUGGUGGCCUCACCAAGCCACCCGCCGGCUAGCCGGGAGCACCAACCAGUCUACCAAACUCUCAGCAUGCAGCGCAUACGCAUGCUGUAGAAUCCGUCGUCGCCUUCUUCAGCAGUCCCAUCUUCAAGAGCAAUCAAUGCACUGAUAUUGUCAGACCCUUCUGCCGUCGAUGCAAUCAUGUCGCUGGACAAGCCAUCUUCUACUAAGUGAUUAUUUACAACGCUAAUCUGACUGGCCACUUUCGCCCAAUCAACAAGAAUAACUAACAUGUCUGCCACAAUUUUUUCUUCACUUCAUUGGGGUGAAUUUGUUUCAUUUCUCAUGAAAAAUGGUAGCCGUUUACCAUGACAUGACAAACAUACACGUAUAGCUUUUGAACAUGUAAAAUUUUGACCAAAUUACUGCUUCAUCAAAUAACAAUGUUACAAUGAAAUUAUCAAACUCAAUUUGUCAUGUCAUGGCAUGAACAAAAAAUCUUCUUGAACACUUGAAAACACAGCACGCACAUGCUCACUUCACACAUUCAAAAUCACCAGCAAACAAAGCCUUUGUUUCAACUUUCAGAACAAGGGAAGCCACAUGAAUGUGGGCGAGUAGCACUUGCGGUCGUCUAAUUGACUCCCGCCUCCGAUCCUCCUGAUACACCGGGGCCUCUCGGUCGAAUCUCGACAUGCUGCAAGAGUAAUGAGCAGCACGGUGAGUUCUCUAGCUACACAACUGUAACUCUGCAAGUCUUGUGCAGUAGAAAACGCCGUCGAAUUGUCUUUUCCGUGUAAAAUGUGAACAUACCUCCUGCACGGCCGGCGCCGGCGCCGACUUGGGGGCCUCCUCCCUGACCCCGGAGCGGCCACAGCCGGCGACGCGGUCGACGAGGCCGAAAAACCUAUCCCUGAGCUGGGCGGCGAAGUUGGCCAUGGUGGUGGAGGUGGAGCUAGCUGAAGUGAAGAGAGUGCACUGCACGCUGCCUCUCUCGAAUCUGAAUCACACGCAGGUAGCUCUAGUGCUUGAUUUUGGUGGUGGAAGAGUGGUGUGAGUUCUGGGAGCGAUGCGGAGGUCUCAUUUAUACACGACGCGGGGCACCAAACCCGUCAGCUUAGUGUUGCACUUGCACCCCCAUCUAUCAUCAUGGUUCAUGCAUCUGGGUAGGCCCGCAGCCCGUACGUCCAGCCGUCCAGGGAUAUUCAGAUCAACGCAGCAUCGUUUACCACGCAGAUCUUGUGCAGAGUUGUUGAGUGCCAACAUGCCGUCGUGUUAGCUGUGUCCAUUGCUUGAUAUGAUCACUACUAGACUAGUGCUAGCUGCAAUUUGCAUGGAUGACAUGAUUCGCCGGGCCGGGCCGGGCAUCAUGCCAUCAUAUUAUCCGAUGUCGUGGGCACUUUAAUUUCCACCUAUUCUCUCGAGAUCCCGAACCAGGGCCACCGUGAUACAUUCUUCGUUGUUCGCUUAUAGUACCUCUGCGAGCAAUGAGCAUAGUACAGAGUAUAGACCAAACAAUACAAAUACGACUACGAAUAAUAGUGGCAAGACAUAUAAGCAGAUAAAUAAGAAGCAAUCUCUCAGGACCUAGCACAAGAAGUGUGCACGCGAUGAGCUAUUACAACUUGACAAGCCAUAUUUAUGGGUCCUCAAUACAAUGGACGAUAUGCGAACUGAGCCUACCUCAGAUCGAUUGUUAAGUUUUUUGUGGUGGAAUCAGCCUACUAGGAUUCAAUUUCUAGACUUGACACGAUCCUGUCUGUUGAACAUAUGUAUAUGUGCGUAGGUCUGGGUUUUGAAUGCUGCACCUGUAGUGUCUCUCUUCUCUUGUAUCUUCGUCCCAAAUUUUUUGGCUCAGAUUGUCUAGAUACGGAUGUAUCUAACACUAAAACGUAACUAGAUACAUCCGUAUUUAGACAAAUCUAAGACAAGAAUUUUAGGACGGAGGGAGUACUUAUAUUUUGGAAGACAAGACACCGGUCGCACCCCUUGUACCUAUAUAUAUGUGCCUAAUGCACGGUCAAUCAAUUAUCGAUGCACAAAAUCAUUCUCUACAUGGUAUCUAUCGCAAGUCGAUCCUCCUGCUUCCGCCAACCCUAGCCGCCGCCGCCGCCACCGCCCCACGCCGCCGCCGCCGCCACCGUCCCACGCCGCCACGGCCACCACUUCCCCACGGGCGCCUCCCCUCCCCGCUCGUCCUCUCCUCCCCACCGCGCCGCGCUGCCCUCCCGCCUCACCGUGCCUCUCCCACCGCCGCGCCGCCCUUCCACCGCCGCCCCCCUUCCCCAAACCCUCGCCGCCAUGUCGUCCAACGCCUCCUCCAUCUCCAACCCCUUCGCCGUGGACCCUGCUGAAAUCCGCGACAUCAACAUCCAAGCACGCGUCCCCGUCGUCCCCAAUGCCUCCAACUCCACGUACUUCGCGUGGAAGACCUACUUCUCGUUGCUCUUCCGCGAGAACAACCUCGUGGAUCAUGUUGACGGCACCGUUGACUCCCGUGCCAUGAUGGACGACCCCGAGUGGACCGUGAUCGACGCCCCGAUCAUGCGGUGGUUCUUCACCAUCAUCUCCAAGGACCCGUUUCACACGGUCGUGAGCGACGGUGACGACGCCCGUGCCAUGUGGGUUAAGCUGAACGACCUCUUCACCGACAACAAGCUUCAGCGCCGCGUUUUUUUGCAGUAGGAAUUUUUUGACUGUCACCAGGAUGAACAGUCCAUUGAUGACUACUGCCGCCGCCUGAAGACAUUGGCGGAUGAGCUCCGCGACAUUGGAGCCAAGCUUGAUGACGACCUUCUCCUCAGCAUGCUCACCGCCGGCCUCAACGAGGAUUUCGGCAACGCCGGCUCCAACCUCACCUUGAUGCCGGAGCCUUCCUUCCCCAAGUUCGUGGGGUACUUGCGGUUGGAGGAGCGCCGGAUGAAGGGGAUCAAGAAGCGUGUGCAGCAUCACGCCCUCGCCGCUGGCACCUCCUGUGGCGCCCCACCACCGGCCGCCCCACCCGCGUCGCGCCAUCAGCCGCCGCCCCCCGCGCCUCCGGGGUACUUCCCCCUGCCGCUUGCGCCUCCUUUCCCUCCCGCUGCCCCCAGCAGCCAGGUGGCGGGCGCCGCGGCAACCGCCGCGAGGGCGGCCGCAAGCAGCAACAGGCGCCCGGGGGUGGGGGGCUCGGCAGCAGCGGCAGCAGGCCACCCCUCCAUGGACGUACGGCACCAACCCGUGGAUCAGCGUCGUCCACGCGUACUCGAUGCCGGUCCCUCGGGCUCCCGCUCCGGGCAUCCUUUGGCCUCGUCCGGCGAGCCACCAGGCCCUCUUCGCCGCGCAGAACGCCGCUCCCCAUAGCGGCUAUGGCGCCGCACCCUCGUCCGCGCCCGCCUACGGUGCCGCCACCGCGUCGGCCUACAGAGGGUUUUACCCUCCUUAGGUGCCUCCGUCGUGGGACCCAUCCCUUCUCGCUGCUCUGCACUUCGCCUUGUCACCGAGUUCCUACGGUGGUGAGGUGACUGGUACAUGGACUCGGGCGCCACCGCUCACAUGACUGCUCAUCCCGGUAACCUCACAUCCGCCACUCCUGUUCAUAGUCCCACUCGCGUCACCGUUGGUAACGGUUCCUCUCUACCCAUUACAUAUGCCGAUCAUAUGGCAUUUCCUUGUACUUCUACUCCUGUUAACAUGUCUAAUGUUCUUGUGUCUCCUGACUUAGUCACUAAUCUUGUUCUGUUCGUCAACAUGCUCGUGAGAAUCCUAUCACUGUUGAAUUUGACGAUAUCAGCUUUUCUGUGAAGAACGCCCGUACACGGAUGAUACUCCACCGAUGUGACAGCCCGGACGAGCUUUACCCGGUGCAUCCCUCCGGCGCAACCACCACCCGUCGUCCCGCCGCCCUCGCUGCUAGUGUCGAUCUUUGGCACGCCUGCCUCGGUCAUCCCAACUCCACCAUUAUGCGUCAGAUUCUUCAGGGUUUUUCUUUCUCGUGUAAUAAGGUUGACGACCACACUUGUGAGGCUUGCCGUCUUGGCAAGCACAUCCGUCUUCCCUUUAGCGAGCCUACAAACAUUUCCACCUUUCCGUUUUAGUUAUUGCACAGUAAUGUUUGGAUGUCCCUGGCUGCGAGCAACACGGGUUACUUAUACUAUUUGGUGAUAUUGGAUGAUUUUUCUCAUUAUGUGUGGACAUUCCCUCUUCGUCACAAGUCCGACGCUCUUGCCACACUCACAGCCUUUUAUUCAUAUGUCACCGCACAGUUCAGUUGUCCUAUUCUUGCCUUGCAAACUAACAACGCCAAGGAGUUUGACAACGUCGCCGUCCGCAAUCUUCUUGCGUCCCACGACACCAUCUUUCGACUCACUUGUCCCUACACGUCCUAGUAGAAUGGUCGCGCCGAGCACGUCAUUUGCACUCUUCAUGACUAUGUCCGCACGUUGCUCUUCCACUCCUACGUGCCUCCUCGGUUCUGGCCGGACGCGGUCGUGACCGCCAGCCUCCUUAUUAACAUUCGCCCGUGUCGCCCGCACUGGAACUACACUCCUCACCAGCUCCUCUUCAGUGCGGUUCCAUCUUAUGAUGGUCUUCGCAUUUUCGGGUGUCUCUGUUAUCCUAGCACCGCGUCCACUGCUCCUCACAAACUCGCUCCCAGGUUGCUUCCUUGCAUCUUCCCUAGUUAUCCUCCCAACACCAAAGGUUACCGGUGCUAUGAUCCAGUGUCCCACCGCGUUUUCACUUUGCGGCAUGUGUACUUUGAUGAGCUAGUGUUCCCGUUUCAGCAAGUACCGUCACCCUCGGCAUCUCCCGCGGCGCGGUUCGCCCCCGCCUCCACCUCUCGCAAACCGCCCAGCUGCGCACUGGGCUCGGCCCUGCCUGCGCUCCCCGCGCCGGCGGCCCCCAUCACCGCGGCCGCACCUCUCACCAGUGUGGUCACUCAGGCUCAGACUGGGACACUUCGUCCUAGCACGCGCUACACGUCUGACGAGUACGCUUGCGUUGCGUCUACCUCGACACUGUCUCCGCUCCCCCCUCCGCUCACGCAGCCCUUCGGGAUCUGAACUGCCUAGCUGCGAUGCGUGAGGAGUUUGACGCCCUGCAGCGCAACCGUACGUGGCAGCUUGUUCCGUGGCCUCCCCGUGCCAAUGUCAUCACUGGCAAGUGGGUCUUUCGCCACAAGACUCACCCCGACGGCUCUCUCGGGCGCUACAAGGUGCGUUGGGUUGUGCGCGGCUUCCGCUAGCGUGCCGGCGUGGACUUCACCGACACCUUCGCCCCGGUUGUCAAACCGGGCACGAUUCGCGCGGUUCUUCAGCUUGCUGUUUCUCGCGCCUGGCCAGUUCACCAGCUCGAUGUAUCCAAUGCUUUCUUGCAUGGCCAUCUCGACGAGCAGGUCUUCUGUCGGCAGCCUACUGGUUUCGUUGACACCGACUAUCCGUACUACUGUGCUUGCUCUCCCGUUCUCUCUACGGGUUGAAGCAGGCGCCUCAGGCCUGGUACCAGCGGAUCGCGGCCUUCCUUCAACAGCAGGGGUUCCGGUCCACACGGUCCAAUGCCUCCUAGUUUGUUUAUCACCAGGGCACCGCCACCGCGUACCUCCUCCUGUAUGUCGAUGACAUCAUCCUGACUGCAUCCUCGCCAGCGCUCCUUCAGCAGAUCACAGCUCGCCUCUGCACCGAGUUCGCCCUCAAGGACUUGGGGGCUCUCCACUACUUCCUCGGCAUCGAGGUUGUGCGCCGGGCCACCGGCUUCUUUCUGCACUAGUAGAAGUAUGCCUACGAGCUUCUGGAGAGAGCGGGCAUGCUUAACUGCAAGCCUGCUUCUACGCCUGUCGACACGAAGGCUAACGUGUCUGCCGUCGAGGGUUCUCCAGCGUCCGACGCUACCUUCUACCGCUCCAUCGUUGGUGCUCUUCAGUACCUCAUGCUGACGCGCCCGGACAUUCAGUACGAUGUCCAACAUGUGUGCCUUCAUAUGCAUGCUCCUCGUGGUACUCAUUGGGCUCUGGUGAAACAUAUUAUUCGGUACAUACGUGGCACCACUGCUAUGGGUCUUGAUAUGUCUCCAACGUAUCUAUAAUUUUUGAUUGUUCCAUGCUAUAUUAUAUUCUCUUUUGGACAUUAUUGGACUUUAUUAUACACUUUUAUAUUAUUUUUGGGACUAACCUAUUAACCGGAGCCCAGCCCAGAAUUGCUGUUUUUUGCCUAUUUCAGAGUUUCACCGAAAAAAAUAUCAAACGGAGUCCAAACGGAAUGAAACCUUCGGGAACGUGAUUUUUGGAACGAACGUGACACAGAGGACUUGGACCCUACGUUAAGAAAGCUAUCAGGAAGGCACGAGGUAGGGGGGCGCACCUACCCCCCAGGCGCGCCCUCCACCCUCAUGGGGCCCACAUUGCUCCACCGACGUACUUCUUCCUCCUAUAUAUACCUACGCACCCCAAACUACCAGAUACGGAGCCAAAAACUUAAUUCCACCGCCGCAACCUUCUAUACCCGUGAGAUCCCAUCUUGGGCCUUUUCCGGAGUUCCACCGGAGGGGGCAUCGAUCACAGAGGGCUUUUACGUCAACACCAUAGCCUCUCCGAUGAUGUGUGAGUAGUUUACCUCAGACCUUCGGGUCCAUAGUUAUUAGCUAGAUGGCUUCUUCUCUCUCUUUGGAUCUCAAUACAAAGUUCUCCACGAUUCUCGUGGAGAUCUAUUCGAUGUAAUCUUCUUUUGCGGUGUGUUUGUUGAGACCGAUGAAUUGUGGGUUUAUGAUCAAGUUUAUCUAUGAACAAUAUUUGAAUCUUCUCUGAAUUCUUUUAUGUAUGAUUGGUUAUCUUUGCAAGUCUCUUUGAAUUACCAGUUUGGUUUGGCCUACUAGAUUGAUCUUUCUUGCAAUGGGAGAAGUGCUUAGCUUUGGGUUCAACCUUGCGGUGUCCUUUCCCAGUGACAGUAGGGGCAGCAAGGCACGUAUUGUAUUGUUGCCAUCGAGGAUAACAAGAUGGGGUUUAUAUCAAAUUGCAUGAGUUUAUCCCUGUAUGUCAUGUCAUCUUACUUAAAGCGUUACUCUGUUCCUUUGAACUUAAUACUCUAGAUGCAUGCUGGAUAGCGGUCGAUGAGUGGACUAAUAGUAGUAGAUGCAGACAGGAGUCGGUCUACUUGUCUCAGACAUGAUGCCUAUAUACAUAAUCAUACCUAGAUAUUCUCAUAACUAUGCUCAAUUCUGUCAGUUGCUCAACAGUAAUUUGUUUACCCACCGUAAUGAAGGAAAUAUGCCCUAGAGGCAAUAAUAAAGUUAUUAUUGUUGGAAAUAUGCCCUAGAGGCAAUAAUAAAAUGGUUAUUAUUAUAUUUCCUUGUUCAUGAUAAUUGUCUAUUGUUCAAGCUAUAAUUGUGUUAUCCAGAAAUUGUAAUACAUGUGUGAAUACAUAGACCACAACACGUCCCUAGUGAGCCUCUAGUUGACUAGCUCGUUGAUCAAAAGAUAGUCAUGGUUUCCUGACUAUGGACAUUAGAUGCCAUUGAUAAUAGGAUCACAUCAUUAGGAGAAUGAUGUGAUGGACAAGACCCAAUCCUAAGCAUAGCUCAAAGAUCGUGUAGUUCGUUUGCUAGAGCUUUUCCGAAUGUCAAGUAUCAUUUCCUUAGACCAUGAGAUUAUGCAACUCCCGGAUACCGUAGGAGUGCUUCGGGUGUACCAAACGUCACAAUGUAACUGGGUGACUAUAAAGGUGCACUACGGGUAUCUCCGAAAGUGUCUGUUGGGUUGGCACGAAUCGAGACUGGGAUUUGUCACUCCGUAUGACGGAGAGGUAUCUUUGGGCCCACUCGGUAAUGCAUCAUCAUAAUGAGCUCAAUGUGACCAAGUGGUUGAUCACGGGAUCAUGCAUUAUGGUACGAGUAAAGUGACUUGCCGGUAACGAGAUUGAACGAGGUAUUGGGAUACCGACGAUCGAGUCUCGGGCGAGUAACGUACCGAUUGACAAAGGGAAUUGUAUACGGGAUUGAUUGAAUCCUCGACAUCGUGGUUCAUCCGAUGAGAUCAUCGAGGAGCAUGUGGGAGCCAACAUGGGUAUCCAGAUCCGCUGUUGGUUAUUGAUCGGAGAGUCGUCUCGGUCAUGUCUGUGUGUCUCCCGAACCCAUAGGGUCUACACGCUUAAGGUUCGGUGAUGUUAGGGUUGAAGAGAUAUUAAUAUGCGGUAACCUAAAAGCUGUUCGGAGUCUCGGAUGAGAUCCCGGACGUCACGAGGAGUUCCGGAAUGGUCCGGAGGUGAAGAAUUAUAUAUAUAUAUAUAUGGAAGUCCAGUUUCGGCCAUCGGGAAAGUUUCAGGGGUCACUGGUAUUGUACCGGGACCAUCGGAAGGGUCUCGGGGGUCCACCGGGUGGGGCCACCUAUCCUGGAGGGCCCCAUGGACUGAAGUGGGUAAGGGAACCAGCCCCUGGUGGGCUGGUGCGCCCCCCUUGGGCCUCCCCCUAUGCCUAGGGUUGGAAACCCUAGGGGUGGGGGCGCCCCACUUGGCUUGGGGGGCAAGCCACCCCUCUUGGCCGCCCCCCCCCUUUGAGAUCCAAUCUCUAGGGCCGGCGCCCCCCCUAGGGGCCCUAUAUAUAGUGGGGGGAGGGAGGGCAGCCGCACCAAGCCCCUGGCGCCUCCCUCUUCCUCCCGUGACACCUCUCCCUCUCGCUGAGCUUGGCGAAGCCCUGCCGAGAUCACCGUUGCUUCCACCACCACGUCGUCGUGCUGCUAGAUCUCCAUCAACCUCUCCUUCCCCCUUGCUGGAUCAAGCAGGAGGGGACGUCUUCCCAACCGUACGUGUGUUGAACGCGGAGGUGCCGUCCGUUCGGCGGAUCAUUGGUGAUUUGGAUCACGACGAGUACGACUCCAUCAACCCCGUUCUCUUGAACGCUUCCGCUCGCGAUCUACAAGGGUAUGUAGAUGCACUCCCCUUUCCCUCGUUGCUAGAUAACUCCAUAGAUUGAUCUUGGUGAUGUGUAGAAAAUUUUAAAUUCGGCUACGUUCCCCAACAAUGGCAUCAUGAGCUAGGUCUAUGCGUAGUUUCUAUGCACGAGUAGAACACAAAGCAGUUGUGGGCGUCGAUAUUGUCAAUUUACUUGCCGUUACUAGUCUUAUCUUGAUUCGGCGGCAUUGUGGGAUGAAGCGGCCCGGACCGACCUUACACGUACGCUUACGUGAGACUGGUUCCAUCGACUGACAUGCACUAGUUGCAUAAGGUGGCUAGUGGGUGUCUGUCUCUCCCACUUUAGUCGGAUCGGAUUCGAUGAAAAGGGUCCUUAUGAAGGGUAAAUAGAAAUUGGCAUAUCAAGUUGUGGUUUUGGCGUAGGUAAGAAACGUUCUUGCUAAGAAACCUAUAGCAGCCACGUAAAAAUUUGCAACAACAAUUAGAGGACGUCUAACUUGUUUUUGCAGCAUGUGCCGUGUGAUGUGAUAUGGACAAAAAGGAUGUGAUGAAUGAUAUAUGUGAUGUAUGAGAUUGAUCAUGUUCUUGUAAUAGGAAUCACGACUUGCAUGUCGAUGAGUAUGACAACCAGCAGGAGCCAUAGGAGUUGUCUUAAUUUAUUUAUGACCUGCGUGUCAACAUAUAACGUCAUGUAAUUACUUUACUUUAUUGCUAAACCGUUAGCCAUAGUAGUAGAAGUAAUAGAUGACGAGACAACUUCAUGAAGACACGAUGAUGGAGAUCAUGAUGAUGGAGAUCAUGGUGUCAUGCCAGUGACGACGAUGAUCAUGGCACCCCGAAGAUGGAGAUCAUAAGGAGCUAAAUGAUAUUGGCCAUAUCAUGUCACUAUUUAAUUGAAUGUGAUGUUUAUCAUGUUUUACAUCUUAUUUGCUUAGAACGACGGUAGAUUAAAUAAGAUGACCCCUCGCACUAAUUUCAAGAAAGUGUUCCCCCUAACUGUGCACCGUUGCGAAGGUUCGUUGUUUCGAAGCACCACGUGAUGAUCGGGUGUGAUAGUCUAACGUUCGAAUACAACGGGUGUAAGCCAGAUUUACACACACAAUACACUUAGGUUGACUUGACGAGCCUAGCAUGUACAAACAUGGCCUCGGAACACGGAAGACCGAAAGGUCGAGCGUGAGUCGUAUAGAAGAUAUGAUCAACAUGAAGAUGUUCACCGAUGUUGACUAGUCCGUCUCACGUGAUGAUCGGACACGGCCUAGUCGACUCGGAUCAUGUUUCACUUAGAUGACAAGAGGGAUGUCUAUCUGAGUGGGAGUUCAUUGAAUAAUUUGAUUAGAUGAACUUAAUUAUCAUGAACUUAGUCUAAAAUCUUUGCAAUAUGUCUUGUAGAUCAAAUGGCCCACGCUAAUGUUGCCCUCAACUUCAACGCGUUCCUAGAGAAAACCAAGCUGAAAGAUGAUGGCAGCAACUAUACGGACUGGGUCCGGAACCUGGGGAUCAUCCUCAUAGCUGCCAAGAAAGAUUAUGUCCUAGAAGCACCACUGAGUGACGCACCCAUCCCAGAGAACCAAGACGUUAUGAACGCUUGGCAGUCACGUGCUGAUGAUUACUCCCUCGUUCAGUGCGGCAUGCUUUACAGCUUAGAACCGGGGCUCCAAAAGCGUUUUGAGCAACACGGAGCAUAUGAGAUGUUCGAAGAGCUGAAAAUGGUUUUCCAAGCUCAUGCCCGGGUCAAGAGAUAUGAAGUCUCCGAUAAGUUCUUCAGUUGUAAGAUGGAGGAAAAUAGUUCUGUCAGUGAGCACAUACUCAAAAUGUCUAGGUUGCACAACCGCUUGACUCAGCUGGGAGUUAAUCUCCCGGAUGACGCGGUCAUUGACAGAAUCCUUCAGCCGCUUCCACCGAGCUACAAGAGCUUUGUGAUGAACUUCAAUAUGCAGGGGAUGGAAAAGACCAUUCCUGAGGUAUAUUCAAUGCUGAAAUCAGCGGAGGUGGAGAUCAAAAAGGAACAUCAAUUGUUGAUGGUGAAUAAAACCACUAAGUUUAAGAAAGGCAAGGGUAAGAAGAACUUCAAGAAGGACGGCAAGGGGGUUGCCGCGCCCGGUAAGCUAGCUGCCGGGAAGAAGCCAAAGAAUGGACCCAAGCCCGAGACUGAGUGUUUUUAUUGCAAAGGAAGUGGUCACUGGAAGCGGAACUGCCCCAAAUACUUAGCGGACAAGAAGGCCGGCAACACUAAAGGUAUAUGUGAUAUACAUGUGAUUGAUGUGUACCUUACCAGUACUCGUAAAAGCUCCUGGGUAUUUGAUACCGGUGCGGUUGCUCACAUUUGUAACUAAAAGCAGGAGCUGCGGAAUAAGCGGAGACUGGCGAAGGAUGAGGUGACGAUGCGCGUCGGGAAUGGUUCCAAGGUCGAUGUGAUCGUCGUCGGCACGCUACCUCUACGUUUACCUAUGGGAUUAAUUUUAAACCUCAAUAAUUGUUAUUUAGUGCCAGCUUUGAGCAUGAACAUUGUAUCAGGAUCUCGUUUAAUUCGAGAUGGCUACUCAUUUAAAUCCGAGAAUAAUGGUUGUUCUAUUUAUAUGAGAGAUAUGUUUUAUGGUCAUGCCCCGCUGGUAAAUGGUUUAUUCUUAAUGAAUCUCGAGCGUAAUGUUACACAUAUUCAUAGUGUGAAUACCAAAAGAUGUAAGGUUGAUAAUGAUAGUCCCACAUACUUGUGGCACUGCCGCCUUGGUCACAUAGGUGUCAAACGCAUGAAGAAGCUCCAUGCAGAUGGACUUUUGGAGCAUCUUGAUUACGUAUCAUUUUACACGUGCGAACCAUUCCUCAUGGGUAAAAUGACCACUCCGUUCUCAGGAACAAUGGAGCGAGCAACCAACUUAUUGGAAAUCAUACAUACUGAUGUGUGCGGUCCAAUGAGUGUUGAGGCUCGCGGUGGCUAUCGUUAUGUUCUCACCCUCACUGUUGACUUAAGUAUAUAUGGGUAUGUCUACUUAAUGAAACACAAGUCUGAGACCUUUGAAAAGUUCAAGGAAUUUCAGAGUGAGGUUGAGAAUCAACGUGACAGGAAAAUCAAGUUCUUGCGAUCAGAUCGUGGGGGAGAAUACUUGAGUCACGAAUUUGGCAUGCACUUAAGGAAAUGUGGAAUAGUUUCACAACUCACGCCGCCUGGAACACCUCAGCGUAAUGGUGUGUCCGAACGUCGUAAUCGCACUCUAUUGGAUAUGGUGCGAUCUAUGAUGUCUCUUACCGAUCUACUGCUGUCAUUUUGGGGCUAUGCUUUAGAGACUGCCGCAUUCACUUUAAAUAGGUCUCCAUCGAAAUCCGUUGAGAUGACACCAUAUGAAUUAUGGUUUGGGAAGAAACCUAAGCUGUCGUUUCUAAAUCAGAAAAAUGCGUCUUCAUUGGAUAGCGUAAAGAAACUAUUGGGUAUACCUUCUACCUCAGAUCCGAAGGCAAGAUCUUUGUUGCCAAGAAUGGAUCCUUUCUGGAGAAAGAGUUUCUCUCGAAAGAAGUAAGUGGGAGGAAAGUAGAACUUGAUGAAGUAUUGCCUCUUGAACCGGAGAGUGGCGCAACUCAAGAAAAUGUUCCUGAGGUGCCUGCACCGACUAGAGAGGAAGUUAAUGAUGAUGAUCAUGAAACUUCAGAUCAAGUUGCUACUGAACUUCGUAGGUCCACAAGGACACGUUCCACACCAGAGUGGUAUGGAAACCCUCUCUUGGAAAUCAUGUUGUUAGACAAUGGUGAACCUUCGAGCUAUGAGGAAGCGAUGGCGGGCCCAGAUUCCGACAAAUGGCUAGAAGCCAUGAAAUCCGAGAUUAUGCAACUCCCGUUUACCGGAGGAACACUUUGUGUGCCACCAAACGUCACAACGUAACUGGGUGAUUAUAAAGGUGCUCUACAGGUGUCUCCGAAGGUACUUGUUGGGUUGGCGUAUUUCGAGAUUAGGAUUUGUCACUCCGAUUGUUAGAGAGGUAUCUCUGGGCCCACUCGGUAAUGCACAUCACUAUAAGCCUUGCAAGCAUUGCAACUAAUGAGUUAGUUGCGGGAUGAUGUAUUACGGAACGAGUAAAGAGACUUGCUGGUAACGAGAUUGAACUAGGUAUUGAGAUACCGACGAUCGAAUCUCGGGCAAGUAACAUACCCAUGACAAAGGGAACAACGUAUGUUGUUAUGCGGUUUGACCGAUAGAGAUCUUCGUAGAAUAUGUAGGAGCCAAUAUGAGCAUCCAGGUUCUGCUAUUGGUUAUUGACCGGAGACGUGUCUCGAUCAUGUCUACAUAGUUCUCGAACCCUUAGGAUCCGCACACUUAAAGUUCGAUGAUGGUUAUAUUAUGAGUUUAUGUGUUUUGAUGUACCGUAGGAGUUCGGAGUCCCGAAUGAGAUCGGGGACAUGACGAGGAGUCUCGAAAUAGUCGAGACGUAAAGAUCGAUAUAUUGGACGACUAUAUUCGGAUAUCAGAAAGGUUCCGAGUGAUUCGGGUAUUUUCGGGAGUACCGGGGAGUUACGGGAAUUCGUAUUAGGCCUUAAUGGGCCAUACGGGAAAGGAGAAAAAGGCCUCAAAGGGUGGCCGCACCCCUCCACAUGGGCUGGUCCGAAUUGGACUAGGGAGGGGGCGCCCCCUGCCUUCCUUCUCCUUUUCCCUUCCCUUUCCUUCUCUCCUACUCCUACUACUUGGAAGGGCUCCUAGUUCUACUUGGAAAGGGGGAAUCCUACUCCCGGUGGGAGUAGGACUCCCCUAGGGCGCGCCAUAGAGAGGGCUGGCCCCUCCCCUCCUCCACUCCUUUAUAUACGUGGUCAGGGGGCACCCCAUAGACACAACAAUUGAUCUCUUGAUCUCUUAGCCGUGUGCGGUGCCCCCCUCCACCAUAAUCCACCUCGAUCAUAUCGUAGCGGUGCUUAGGGGAAGCCAUGCGUCGGUAGAAAAUCAUCAUCGUCACCACACCGUCGUGCUGACAAAACUCUCCCUCAACACUCGGCUGGAUCGGAGUUUGAGGGACGUCAUCGAGUUGAACGUGUGCAGAACUCGGAGGUGUCGUGUUGUUCGGUACUUGAUCGGUCGGAUCGUGAAGACGUACGACUACAUCAACCGCGUUGUGCUAACGCUUCCGCUUUUGGUCUACGAGGGUACGUGGACAACACUCUCCCCUCUCAUUGCUAUGCACCACCAUGAUCUUGCGUGUGCGUAGGAUUUUUUUUGAAAUUACUGCGUUCCCCAACACGUAAUACUUAUGCUCUCGAGAGAAGCCACUAGUGAAACCUAUGGCCCUCGGGUCUAUUUUCCAUUAUAUUAAUCUCCCAUUAACAAGCUAUUUCUAGUGCCGUUUUUAUUUCGCUUUAUUUACUUUGCAUAUUUAUCAUAGAAAUACCAAAAAUAUUAUCUUAUCAUAUUUAUCAUAUCUCACUUUCGUAAGUGACCGUGAAGGGAUUGACAACCCCUUUAUUGCGUUGGUUGCGAGGAUUUUAUUUGUUUGUGUAGGUGCGAGGGGCUCGUGCGUGGCCUCCUACUAGAUUGAUACCUUGGUUCUCAAAAACCGAGGGAAAUACUUACGUUACUUUGCUGCAUCACCCUUUCCUCUUCAAGGGAAAACCAACGCAGUGCUCAAGAGGUAGUAGGUCUCACCCUGACGGCAUCAGCUGACACCAUCCUUAUCGCCUACUCCGACGCCGACUGGGCUGGGUGUCCCGACACUCGACGCUCCACUUCCGGCUACUGCGUAUACCUCGGGCCCUCUCUGAUUUCAUGGUCGUCUAAACGACAACCCAUGGUCUCACGAUCGAGCACCGAGGCUGAGUACAGGGCAGUGGCCAACGUCGUCGCAGAGUGCUCUUGGCUACGACAACUACUUUAGGAGUUGCUAUGUGAGGUCACCAAGGCUACGCUUGUCUACUGCGACAACAUUUCCGCAGUGUACCUUGCUGCCAACCCUGUCCAUCACCGAUGGACGAAGCAUAUUGAGCUCGACAUUCACUUCAUCAGGGAGCACGUCACACUUGGUCGUAUUCGAGUUCUACAUGUGCCCACCGAUCAGCAGUUCGCUGAUACGAAGGGACUACCCACCUCGAUGUUCGAGGGCUUUCGGUCCAGUCUCUGCAUCACNNNNNNNNNNNNNNNNNNNNNNNNNNNNNNNNNNNNNNNNNNNNNNNNNNNNNNNNNNNNNNNNNNNNNNNNNNNNNNNNNNNNNNNNNNNNNNNNNNNNNNNNNNNNNNNNNNNNNNNNNNNNNNNNNNNNNNNNNNNNNNNNNNNNNNNNNNNNNNNNNNNNNNNNNNNNNNNNNNNNNNNNNNNNNNNNNNNNNNNNNNNNNNNNNNNNNNNNNNNNNNNNNNNNNNNNNNNNNNNNNNNNNNNNNNNNNNNNNNNNNNNNNNNNNNNNNNNNNNNNNNNNNNNNNNNNNNNNNNNNNNNNNNNNNNNNNNNNNNNNNNNNNNNNNNNNNNNNNNNNNNNNNNNNNNNNNNNNNNNNNNNNNGUGUGUGCCUAGUGCACGAUCAAUCAAUUAUCGAUGCACAAAAUCAUUCCCUACAAUGUUGACUGCGAAAACUUCCGUGAUGACUUCGUCAGUGUAUGUGCGUGUGUAUGAGCAUCUUAGUUGAUAUUGUAAGCCUCUGUGUAGAACAUGUUAUCUGUUGAUGUCGUAUGCCUGAUAAGUCAUGAGCACUAGUAGAAAAAGGGUCAAAUGUUCAACUCAUUAGUCCCGGUUUGUAAUUGAGCCGGCACUAAUGUGAUCAUUAGUGCCGGUUCCAACGGCUAGCUGGGCCACUAUCAUUAGUACCGGUUCGUGGCGAAUGUUUAGCACCGGUUCGUGCCACGAACCGGUACUAAAGAGAGUGGUGACAGGAUGUUGUCAGUCUGGGCCCCUCCAACACCUUUAGUAUCGGUUCGUGGCACGAACCGGUGCUAAAGGUCGUCCUAUAUCAACCCUUCGUCCACCCGCGAUCGUGCUCUCUCUGUUUUUCCCCCUUUACCCUCUCCUCUCUGUUCUUCCCCCUCUACCUCGAGCUCAUCUCACAUUUUGCCAAAAUUUUGUCAACAUUUGAAGGCCCCCAUCCAUUCAAGUGAUCACAAAGGUAAGUGUUGACGCUCAAAAAUGGCAUGAUCGCAAAGAGUAACUUGAGGCUAUAAUGAGAUUAUGUCAAAUUCAUGAUUUCGUGUCACCAUUGGAUGACUCUCUUUAAGACGAUGGGAAUAAAUAUAUAGAUGGUCCAAAACGGAGCUCGGAUGCAAAAGUUAUGACAAUCUUAGAGAUGUUCGUAUUGACACCAGAUUAGAAAAUGGCAUGAAACCUAGCCAAGAUGGCCUCUGAUGGAAAAAAGUUACAACUGCAAAGUUCUUCGUCUCGUUGAAACGGACGAUUUUAAUAUAAAAAUCAUCCUCAUCCGAGAUCGUAUGCAAAAGUUACAGGCAAAACAGUGGGUUGCAGCAGUAUUUGGCCAGAUCAUCCGGGCCGGGAUCCGGACCAUCCGGCCUUCGGCCGGAUGAAUGACCCGAACAUCCGGGCUAUCAUUCGGGUAAAUCAACAGAACCAUAAAUUUCGGGCCCCGUGAAGCCAGAUCAUCCGGAUGGCACCCACAUCAUCUGGGUAAAGUCCGGAUAAUCCGGACAUGAAUCCAGACGUCCGAAUAAGUUUUUCUGCUGCAGACUUUAGAAAACGACCCGAAACACCCCCAAUAUGGCCUCAGAUAGAAAAGUGUUCAACAUGCAAGUUGUGCGCCUCGUCAAAGCGGUUGAUUUGGAUAUAAAAAACGUCCAAACCCGAGGUCGUAUGUGGAUUCUAGAGCCAAAACAGUAAGCCGUUGUUAGGAAACUGUGCUAGGCCGGAUCAUCUGGGCCGGAAGUCGUGAGAAGUCCGAAUUUGGCUAGAUUUUGAUGAUUUGGACGACAAUGCAAGUCCUUUUCUUGUACGGGAAGUCCAUCCGCCUCUUAUAUAGACGAGUGGUGACGGCCGAUUCAGCAACAACACACAAUCGGACAAAUCUAUCUAUAUCUUUACCUUUACUUUUCCUUCUCCCUUGUUAUUCUUCUUCCUCGUUCUUCGUUCGUUCUUGUUCAUUGCAGAUCGGCGAACCUCGAGGCCCUAGGGGCGGUCAGACCGACCUAGGGCAGCCCAUAGCCGCUGCGCGCCCUGACGGGGUCCCUCCCGGGCGUGUGGGGUUUCGGGUCCUCAAAAGCACCCGCUGGAUUGCUUGCGUGCCGCGCUUCCGGAUGGGUCUCCUUCGACGUGAGCUGCGGUGCAUCACCCUCGGCAUUGGAGGCACACGGUGAUGUGUUCGUGUCCGAACAGUAAGCAGCUUUGUCAUUUCAUCUCUCAUUGCUAGAUUAGCUUUUGCAAUGCUUUAUAUAGUCAUUAAUUUAUGGGUUCUAGUAAUUUGGGAGGAAUUAUAUGUGGUAGUUUAUUUGAUUUAUAUGCAAUCUGAGCUCAAAAUAACUCUUAGUUUGAAUAUGUAGGUGUGGUUUACUUAGUGCCUUCCCAUCUCCGUCCUAACCACCGUCGAUCGUCCGCACCGUCUUGUCGCCGGCACCACCUUGUGGGAUGAGCCUCUUGUUCUUAUCUUUUUUAUAUAUAAAAUCAUGUUUGUGUGAUUUAGAUAUAUAGUUACUUGUAUAAUUAUCUUACCCGUACGUUGUUUGUUAUUCAUAGUGCCAUGGUUUUGAUAUCCGUCCCCGCCGACCCUCGUCCGGAUUAUGAUUUGGAUGUGGUAUAUUUUCUUUUAUAACUAUUUUGUUGCAUUUUGUGUUUUAUGACAAAUUAUGCCCAUCAAGUUGACAUAGACAUUUUUAUCUAGGAGGUAUGUGAACCGGAAAUUCCAACCGACCCUAUUGUCGAGAGGUUAAAUUUAGUUGAAAAAGAAAACGAGUAUUUGAAAGAAAAAUUGAAAAGAAUUGAGGAGAAGAUGGAAUUGGAGUUGCAUGUUGCCAAUGUCGUCGAUGAUCACAAGAUCAAGAUGGAGAAAAUGCGCUUGAAGAUUAGAAAGAUUAGAAAAUAUGACAUUGAUAGUGAGGCUUGGUAUCAUUAUGCUGUUGGAUCAAUUGUUACCUUAGUUGCGAUCUUGAUCGCAUUUGUUCUUGCAUUUAAAUUCUUUAGCUAGAGAGUUAUUUAUAUGUUUUUUAUGAGAAUAAGUAUUGUAUGAACUUGUAUUAAUUUGGUCUAUUCGGUAUUGUGUAAUGAAGAUGAGCCGGCAAUGGAUGUACGAUGACCGAUGCUCUCCCCAGUUCGUUGAGGGCGUGCAUACUUUUCUGAUUGCGCUCAGGCAAACAAGCGGGCGAAUGGUUUUAUGCCUUGUCCAUGUGCUGGCUGUAAGGAUGAUCACAAUUACUCUAACUCAAGAACCAUUCACGUCCACCUGUUUGAGUCCGGUUUCAUACCCCACUAUAUUGUUUGGACCAAGCAUAGAGAAAGAGGGGUUAUGAUGGAAGAAAAUGAAGAAGAAAAGGACGACGAUAGCUAUCCUGGCCAUGGGUUCCCUGAAUACAAUGAUACAACAAUGGGGGAAGAAGCUGAGCCGGCAAGCAGGAAGAAGCUGAACAAGAGGCAUCAUAUGAGCCAACUGAUGAUCUAGGUCAGGCCAUUGCCGAUGCAGAGAGAAACUGCGCAAGUGCAAAGGAGAAGAAUAAGUUGCAGCGCAUGUUAGAGGAUCACAAGAAAUUGUUGUACCCGAAUUGCGAAACUGACAAUAAAAAGCUGGGCACCACAUUGGAAUUAUUACAAUGGAAGGCAGAGAAUGGUGUAUCUGACAAGGCAUUUGGAAAGUUGCAGGUAAAGUUAAAGAAGAUGCUUUGAAUGGACAACGAAUUGCCCGAGAGUACGUACGAAGCAAAGAAGGAUGUCUGCCCUCUAGGGUUAGAAGUGCAGAAGAUACAUGCAUGCCCUAAUGACUACAUCCUCUACCGCGGUGAGCACACGGAUUUGAACGCAUGCCCGGUAUGCGGUGCAUUGCACUAUAAGAUUAGCCACGAUGACCCUGGUGAUGUCGAGGGUGAGCGCCCUUGGAAGAAUAUUCCGGCCAAGGUGAUGUGGUAUGCUCCUAUAAUACCAUGGUUGAAACGUUUGUUCCUAAACAAAGAGCAUGCCAAGGCGAUGCGAUGGCACAGAGAAGACCGUAAGAAAGACGGAAAGUUGAGAGUACCCGCUGACGGGUCGUAGUGGAGAAAAAUAGAUAGAACGCAUAAGAAGGAGUUUGCAGGUGACGCAAGGAACGUAUGGUUUGGUCUAAGCGCAGAUGGCAUUAAUCCUUUUGGGGAGCAGAGCAGCAACCAUAGCACCUGGCCUAUGACUCUAUGUUUGUAUAAUCUUCCUCCUUGGUUGUACAUGAAGCGGAAGUUCAUUAUGAUGCCAGUGCUCAUCCAAGGCCCUAAGCAACCCGGCAAUGACAUUGAUGUGUACCUAAGGCCAUUAGUUGAAGAACUCUUACAGCUAUGGAAUGGAACAGGUGUACGUGCAUGGGAUGAGCACAGACAGGAAGAAUUUGACCUAAAGGCGUUGCUGUUCGUGACCAUCAAUGAUUGGCCUGCUCUCAGUAACCUUUCAGGACAGACAAACAAGGGAUACCACGCAUGCACGCACUGUUUAGAUGAUACCGACAGUAUAUAUUUGGAUAAUUGUAGGGAGAAUGUGUACCUGGGAUAUCAUUGAUUUCUUCUGAGUAGGCAUCCCGUAAGAAAGAAAGGCAAGCAUUUCAAAGGUGAGGCGGAUCACCGGACGAAACCUCACCACCGUACUGGUGCUAAUGUACAUGAUAUGGUCAAGGAUUUGAAGGUAAUCUUUGGAAAGGGUCCUAGCGGACAACCUGUUCCAAAUGACGCUGACGGACAUGCAUCCAUGUGGAAGAAGAAAUCUAUAUUUUGGGACCUGCCCUAUUGGAAAGACCUAGAGGCCCGCUCCGCUAUCGACGUGAUGCACGUGACGAAAAAUCUUUGCAUGACCCUGCUUGGCUGCUUGGGCGUGUAUGGGAAAAGAUACACCUGAGGCAUGGGAGGACCAGCAACGUAUGCACGGAAAAGACGGCAUACAUCAGCGUCAUGCCAGCUACGGUCUUACCAAAGAAGAGAAGGAAAUCUUCUUUGAAUGCCUGCUCAGUAUGAAGGUACCGUCUCGCUUCUCGUCGAAUAUAAAGAGAAUAAUAAAUAUGGCAGAGAAAAAGUUCCAGAAUCUAAAGUCUCAUGACUGCCACGUGAUUAUAACACAACUGCUUCCGGUUGCAUUGAGGGGGCUUCUACCGGAAAACGUUCGAUUAGCCAUUGUGAAGCUAUGUGCAAUCCUCAAUGCGAUCUCUCAGAAGGUAAUCGAUCUAGAAAUCAUACCAAGGUUAGAGAAUGAUUUGGUGCAAUGUCUCGUCAGUUUCGAGUUGGUGUUCCCACCAUACUUCUUCAACAUCAUGAGGCACGUCCUAGUUCACCUAUGCGAAGAGAUUAACCUUUUGGGUCCUAUAUUUCUACACAAUAUGUUCCCCUUUGAGAGGUUCAUGGGAGUCUUAAAGAAAUAUGUUCAUAACCGUGCUAGGCCAGAAGGAAGCAUCUCGAAGGGCCAUGAAAAUGAGGAGGUCAUUGAGUUUUGUAUUGACUUUAUUCCUAACCUUAAGCCGAUUGGUGUUCCUGAAUCACGACAUAAGGGCAGACUGGAUGGAAAAGGCACGCUAGGAGGGGAUCACAUAAUAUGUAUGGACGGGCAUUCUCUCACUCAAGCACACUACACAGUUCUACAGAAUUCCACCUUGGUGGCUCUGUAUAUGGAGGAACACAAGAAUUUUCUAUGCUCCAAACACCCGGAGCAGUCUGACGACUGUAUUACACGUGAACAAACGGGGACUUUCGCCGGUUGGUUGCAGACAUGUGCCAUGCAUGACGCCGCUAUUGAAGAUGCCAUGUACUUGUUGUCCCAGUUACCAUCUUCGAAUAUAAUGACUUUCAAAGGGUAUGAGAUAAAUGGGAAUACAUUUUACACGAUCGCCCAAGAUAAGAAGAGCACCAACCAAAACAGUGGUGUCCUCUUUGAUGCAGCAACCAAGACGGGAAAGGAAACAUAUUAUGGUUACAUAGAGGACAUAUGGGAACUUGACUAUGGACGUGGUUUGAAGGUCCCUUUGUUUCGGUGCAAAUGGGUCAAUAUGACACGAGGCGGGGUAACGGAAGACCCGUAGUACGGAAUGACAAUAGUGGAUCUCAACAAUCUUGCAUAUGCAGACGAACCAUUCAUCCUAGCCAAUGAUGUGGCACAGGUUUUCUAUGUGAAGGACAUGUCUACCAAUCCAAGAAAAAGAAAAGAUAAGGAAGCAAAUGCAUCAUACGAUGAGCCAAAGCGCCACAUAGUUCUUUCAGGGAAAAGAAACAUCGUGGGGGUGGAUGACAAGACAGACAUAUCAGAAAAUUAUGAAAAGCUUGAUGAAAUUGCUCCAUUCACAGUGAAUAUUGACCCGAGCAUUCAGUUAAAUGAUGAAGAUUGUCCAUGGUUACGGCGCAAAGGGACACACGCGAGGAAAAAGUUUCACACCCAAAGAUCCCACUCUGGGAUGUGGUCGGCUUCACUGUCAUCACUUUCUUCUCUAGUGAGUUUCCGGACUUAUAUAUCUGGAAAGUCCUGCUUUGAACAAACCGAAGGGAAUCUUUUUAACAGUUAGGGUACUUAUGUGUUUUGGCAUUUGAAACGCGAAGAAAUUUUAUGUGCAAACAAAUUCUUUCAUGCAUUUACUGAUUUUUUCAGCUAAAUGGCCCUCAAAUUGAAAAACACUUCAAAUGAACUCUAAAAAAGGUUGAAAGUUGGCAUGGUAUCAUAAUUUCACCCACAUAGCACGUGCAAAAAAGUAGAGAGGGUUACGGCAAAAACUGGAUGCACUUCGUGUAUGAAAUGGACAAUCUCUUUCGAAGUAUCAGGGUUUCGGAUGAAAAAUCAUCUGUUACAAAGGCAUUUCAUUUUUUAAAUAACCUAUGUAUUACCAAAUUGAAUAUAACGAUAAAAACUAAUAUUCACAAAGAAAUUCUAAAUACAGCAAAAAAACAACUCAAAAAUAAUUAAAAUAAAAUAAAUAAAGCAGAAAAGAAAAAAAAGAAAAACUAAAUAAAGAAAGCCCGCCUGUGGGCCACAGCGGCCUGCAUACGACUAGGAACCCAACCUCUAGUUGGGCCAGGAUGCAGGCCCGCUAGCCUAGUAGGCCCAACAGGGCAUCACAACAGAGAUAGGCCCAGAAGGUCUGCUUUAGAGAGGAGCUCGAGACAGCAGCAACGGCGGGGCUUAUAAGCAAGUGCGGGCGCCCCUCGGCUAGCGAGGUGGGACUAAACUUUUGCACCCCUCGUCUGACAGCGCACGACCUUUAGUACCGGGUCAUGGCUCCAACCGGUACUAAAGGGGGGGGUCUUUAGUACUGGUUGGAGCCACCACCUGGUACUAAAGGUGUGCCGUUCCCGCCGCUUGUCCUGGCCAAAUUUGACUUUUAGUACUGGUUGGUGGCUCCAACCGGUACUAAAGGUCAUCCCUAUAUAUACAAUACUUAUCAAAAUUUUAGUUUCUUCUCAUCGGCUUCUUCAACCCCGUCGCCGUCGACGUCACCGCCCCCGUCGCGCCUCCCCGUCGACUCCGCGCCGCCCCGUCCCCGUCACGUCAUCACCGUCGACUCCGCGUCGCCCCAUCAUCGGCCCAUCCCCGUCGCCAUCCCCUCGCCUCGCCGUCACCGUCGCCUUGGACCUCGCCUCGCCGUCGCAGUCGCCUCGACCUCGCCCAUGCUGUGAGCCCCUCUCCUCCCUCUCCUCCCUCCAAUCGAAGCCGCCACGCCGCCGGCGCCGUAGGUGCACACACGCGCACAUACACCACACACACACUACACAAUUUUUAUGUUUUAGCUAUAGAUGAAUUAAUUAAUUAUAUACUUUUAGUUCUAGAUAUAUUAAUGUUAUAGAAAUGUUAGAAAUGUUAUUAGUUAUAUAGAAAUGUUCGUUUUAGCUAGAGUAAUUUCAAAUUGUUAGACGAUGAUCGAUGUCUUAUUACUUUCUUAUAAUUUUAGUUAUAGAAAUUUAGAAUUUGCAUAUAAGAAAUCACAAUCCAAUCAUUUAAAAAUGUUACUUUUGUGGCAUAUAGUAUUUGUUCUCAACGAUGCCCAGCCCGCAUCCUCGUUGUCGACCCGUUCGCGACGACGUCCUGCUUCAGAGGACCCAUGUCCGGGACUGGGCUCCGUCGGGCUGGCACUGGGAGGUGCUACCUUCAGGGGCUCGCCGCUUGGUGAGGAACCCGGCCCUGGGUCCCGUCGUCGACCCUGAGCUCCUUUGGCGGCGUUCGCAUGGGCCACUUUCGGUGCAGAGGGAGCCGGCCCCGCCGGAGGUGGUGCGUCACCGUGUUAGGGAGGAGGACGAGCACGUCCGUCGCUACAUGGCUGCUAUGGACGUCAGGUUCUCCAAUACCUGGCAGGUUCUUUGGGGAGAUGACCGGAGCUAUGAUCCUAUGAUGGUUCCUUCUCUUUGGGUGUCCACCGCCCGCGCCUCAGGAACCGCGAGUGGCCUAGAUUAUUCUGUAGUAUUUGAUCUUUAUUAGCUAGCUAGCUAGUGAUGUAUUCGAUAUAUAAUAUUCGAGACAAUGCAUUCGAGAUUAUAUAAUAUUCGAGACGAUGUAUUCGAGAUUAUAUAUUAUUCGAGACGAUGCAUAUUAUGUACUAUGAUUCAGUUUUUCCUUACUGAUUGCAUGCAUGCAUUGUAAUUUGAAUACUAAAUUGUUUUAUAUUUCUUCUGGAUUAGUUAAAUAAAAGCUAUGGCGGACAAUACUGGCAGAGUGGGAGAAGAGGUCCUGUUCGAGAUCAUACGCUCCCCUCACAGGCCAGAUGAUCAGAAUGAAGAAUAUGAUGGCUCCCAAUAUCUGAACAAUACCGGGGAGGAUGAUGAUAACGGGGAGGGUGAUGGUACCGGGGAGGGUGAUGAUAUGAUAUUCGAUCGCGACGACCAAAUUGAUGAAGUCAUGAACUAUGAUUCUGAUGACGCCAAAAAUGUUGAUCUUGAAAUAACAGAGACCGGCGAGGUAUAUUUAUAUAAGCAGGCAUCUGGUGAUCAUCACAUGUUUUAAAUGAUUUGAAGAUAUAUGAACAAAUUGAUCUUUCUUCUUUCAGCCCUCCGGAUCAAGCAAAUCUUCUGCAGGCAACAGGACAGUGCGAGGCCCGGGAAAAAAGUUGAAGAAUGGCGUAAAGUACAAAUCGAUGCCAUCAGAACUGAUGGCGAACCAGUAGCGCCUAAGAACAUUGCGAACAAGUCCGUUCGUCAGUGCGGAGUUCUUGUGAAGGACCAACUCCCGAUCUCCCUUCAAGAAUGGAAGGAGCCGGCAAAUAAAUGUCCAGAUCUUACUUUUGUCGACGACAAAGCAAAAUCUUUGCUUUGGGAAAAACUCAUGGAACAUUUCACCCUGCCAGAUCAUUUCACAGAUGCAGAUGUGCAGAAAGUCAAGGACGCUGCUCUUAGGAAGAUGGCAACUGCAUUCAGAAAACACAAGAAAACUAUAUAGGCCAACUACGUCAAAGGAGGAAAGAAGACUCCAGAAUUCAAGGGAACACUGGAGAAGAAAAGAGAACACUGGCCUGCAUUCAUGAAAUUCAAGGAAUCAGAAUUAUCUAAGGAACGGUCGAGAAAAAACAAGGCCAAUGCCGCAAAAAAUGAGCAGUUCCAUAGGCUGGGGCCAGGUGGCUACGCAGUGGCAAUGCCUAAGUGGGAUAAGUUUGAGCUAGAGAUGCAGGUUGCACGGGUCACUCCAGUUACAUUGAGCUGGCACCCCAGGUGCAGAACUUGGUUCUAUGCGCAUGGGGGCGUUGGACCUGAAGACAGGCGAGGUUUCGAAGAAGGCGUGUCUUAAAGGAUCCAAAGAUAAGUUACUUGAAGAAAUAGAAGGUGCUCGAAAGGGGAUGUUCAUGCCCAACAGAUAGAGCGACGAGCUUACGUGCACCCUGGGAAAUCCUGAACACCCGGGAAGAACACGAGGCAAGGGCGUUAUUCCGUGGUAUGAGGGCUUUUCGGACUGGAAAGCCGACUACAGAAGCCGUGCUAGAAGGAAGAUGGAGGAGGAGAAGAAGAGGAAGCUGGAGGAGGAGCAGAGGAAGCAGGAAGUAGAACACCUUCAAGGCCUAGAAUCAGUGCACGCGGACUUGGCACUCAAAUUCCAGUGGCAGCAGCAGCAGAUCGACUCACUCAGCAAAGAAAGGGGGUCUCAGCAGUGGCAGCGGCUAGCGCAUGAUCCAACAUUGGAUAGCACCAUCCCAUCCAUGCCGAGAAGCAGCAUGGGUUCUGCCCCGGGCGACGCACUGCUGGCUAGAUACCCUGUGGAUGACAUCAUGGAGAACACUAACUGUGAGCUACACUUCAAAAUAAAGAACAUAUCAAUGAAGGUGGCGGACGCCGUUGCUUAUACAAAUUCCCCCGAAGCAACCUUCCAUUGCAACCCGAUUCUAGCCAGCUAUGCUCGUGUCGUGGUUGAUGAGGUGGUGGACCAAUAUUCGGGGCUAGAGCUUCACAUUCCUGGAGGUGACGAGGAGCACACACUGGGAGAUGCCAUACAUCGUAUCAUCCUAUGGAGAAAGGAUUGCAUCAUCUUUCGAAGGCCACCGACACCACAUCAACCGACUCCUCCUCGAAGUCCGCCACCGCGUCAGCAGACUCCCGCUCCUCCAAGUCCACCAACGUGUCAGGCCACUCCUCCUCCUCCAAGUCCGGCACAGCGUCAAGCCACUCCUCCUGCUUCAAGUCUGGCACAGCGUUAGGCCACUCCUCCUGCUUCAAGUCCACCACAGCGUCAGGCCACUCGUCUUGCUUCAAGUCCGACACCAAGCCAGGCCACUCCUCCUGCUCCAACUCAGCCACGUCAGCCGUCUCCGCCGCCUCAGCAAUCACGGAAGAGAGCCACCACAGCUAUGGUGCGUAGCGGUACAAGUCGAGGUAGUACAGGAGGUACAGGCGGAGGCAAGCGAUUUGAAUAUGGUCCAAGCCUCGCGCCUCUUCUGCUGAGGCCUUAUGACAUGACCGUGGAGCAAAACACAGCCAUAGUGAAGGCCCAAGUGGACGCCCAUUUUGGACCGAAACCGCCAGCGCUGCCAAGGGAGAACAUGCCUGAGGAUAAGAUUGACCACUUUAUUCGUAUGGCUCAAGCACCAGCUCCCAAGCCUCUUGACUCAGACUAUGAGCGCCAAAUCAGGAAGGCACAUCGAGCAUGAGUAAAGAAGGAGUCGAGCUCGAGCUCGAGCCAAGUAGCUGACAAAAAAUGCGGGAAAACCGUUGCCCAUCUAGGAGAACAGGCGGUGCAAUCGAUCCCCCCGCUUGUUGUACCAACACGUGAGAGUACUGGUGCCGGUCAGCUGGUAAUAACCGACGAGCAUAGAAGGCAGGCUGAAGAUCUCGGUAUCACUAUUGGAAAACUCCUAGAGAUCGAGCCCAUGGGUACGAUUAGAGAGGAGGACAUAAAAUGGAAAUAUGUCCGCGGUGAACCUAUGGUCAAGCCUGAGGAGGUCAAGAAGCUCCCAACGAAAAUGUAUGAAUUGAAUCAAUGGGUACAUGGAUAUUUACAAGACCCACAAUCGAGAGUCCCUUCAUGGUGAAAGUCAAGGAAGAGGAUUACUUCCAUGGGACAACUCUAUCUAUUGAGUAUACAGAACUGUUUUAGUUAUUCAAUCAAGACGCACUCGAUAAAUCUAUCAUCAGUUGCUAUUGUCUGUAAGUGAUUUCUUUCUGUAAUUUAAGUCUCAAGCUAGCUGUAGUGCUCUAGUUGAUCAUUACUUGUAAUUAUCGUCACUAUAUUCUUUUCUAUGGUAUUAUGCAGGAUGAAGAUGUACAAAAUGAGAAAAGGUGGACGCUAUGGCAUUGGGUUAAUUGACCCAAAUACCAUUAAUCAACAGACAUGGUCAUAUGCAUGGAAUAAAGAAGACGUAGAGAACAAAAUGCUAGAGUUCUUGAAGCGCCUCAAUACCAAUCGAGAAAUACUACUUCCUUACAACUUCCAGUGAGUCACACUGUCUUGUACUAAAAAUUAUGUUUUUGCUUACUAGCUAGAUGUUAAUAAGUGUAUAGGGUUUAGGGUUAGUUGAUGAGUGUUAUGCACAUGCCCGCUUAAUUUAUACAUGCAAACGUAUGCACAUGCAGGUUCCACUAGAUCUUGUUAAUCAUUAAAAUUGAUGAAGAAAUAGUUGAAGUACUGGACUCACUGCUUAAAGAACCUAAAGACUACUCAAUCUUGAAGGAGAUAGUCAACAGGUAAUUUCAAUCAUUAUUAAAUUAUAUUCCGCCUUUUUAGUUCGUCAUUUCCUGAUAUCAACUAAUUAAUAACUCCUUUGUUCAUUUUCUUUGCCGGCGGACAGGGCUUGGCAAAAGUUCAUCAAAGCGGUUCCAGGCCCGUUCAAAGAAAAGCUGCAUUGGUUUCGAUCCAAGGUAAGUAAUUUUAAGUAGUACUAGUUAGCUACCAUCUCUUUAAUUCUACUUUCAAUACCAUUAAUUAUCAUGCUUGAUUAAUUAGUAUCUGAUUGAAUUCUAUUCUCGUAAAGGCCAUGAAGCAGGCGCCGGGGACUGAUUUAUGUGCAUACUACAUUUGCGAGAACAUUCACAUGAUGGCAUCCGAAAGGACCAGAAAUGCUAGACAACGAUGGGUACGUUUGCCAGAACACUAUUCACAAUUUUUACAUCAUUAUCGAUAUCUAAUCGCACAACUAAUACAUGCAUAUUGAUCUCCUUCUUAAAAGUUCUCUGAGGUGCGGGAGAAGCUCCUACCAACGGAGCACGCACGAGCAAUUGGAGAGGAAAUAGCGGGAUUUUUGCUCGACCAGGUCAUAGAUCCCAAAGGAGAAUACCACCCGCUACCGCAGUAAUGCCUCCAUGUAGAAGAAAUUGUAUAUACCAAAUUGUAUAUAUACAUAUAUAUAUAUAUAUAUAUAUAUAUACAUGUGUAUGUGUGAAUGGUGGUGCGAGACAUUCCAUGAUAUAUAUAUAUAUAUAUAUAUAUAUAUAUAUAUAUAUAUAUAUAUAUAUAUAUGUAGGUAAAACUGUGUCUACCAUAGCUUGCCACAGAACUAGUUAAGUUUCCCUAAACUUCUAACGGUUCAAAAGUUAUCAAAAACUAUGAAAUAAAUAUGGGAGCAUCUUUUUAAUGUAAUAAGAUGAUCCAACGGAGGAAUUGUCAAAAUAUGCAUCUAUGUGUCCUCGACAAAAAUAAUAAGCAUUUCAGCUCACUGCGACAUAAAUAUAUACUGAACUAUUUGUUUUUUUGUCCAGGACACAUAUAGUCGUAUUUUUUUAAUCCCUCCGUUGGAUCAUGUUAUAUUAUAGGUGUGUUGGUUCAGUAUUUUUUUCAGAAUUUUUGAGAACUUUUGCACUAUUGAAACCCUUAACUAGUUCUGUGGCAAACACUUGUAGAAAAUCCUACUACAUCCUACCACUAUGGGGUAACUACCUCCAUCUUUACUCCCGUCCGAUCUCAUCAAGAGGUGGGUGUUGAUUUUCUUAAUGGGUUGCGGGUCUGAGGAAAACUAGUAUUUUUGGUGCCCGAUUCAUUCGUUGGCCGGCCUCUCUUCCGAUAUUCUUGGCCCUCCCGGUAUCUUUUUGUCUCUGCUGUAUAUAUAACAUAUCAGAUAAGGAUGUGCGUUCAAACAAAUCAGAUCUGGAUGGAAUCCAAAAUACUAAUCCCCUUUCUCUCUCUCUGUCCUCUCGCUCACGUUCCGAUGCAAUAACUGAAUCGAUGGUAACUGCCAAAAGAGACCGAGGUACGCAAUUACAUGAUUCUUUUCCAUCCAUGUGUCUUGCUAAUUGAUUUCUUCCUUCUGCUCUCUCUCUCUCUCUCUCUCUUGUGCUGCAGAAAACAACCGUAUUUGGUUAUACGCACCGCCGGUUGGAUUGGAGGCAUGCAUGGACGUUUGGAGGUAUUGACUGAUUAGAUAAGCAAGAUGCGUAGCUAAUUGCUAACUGGUGUCUUGGUUUAUGAUACUUUUGUUUUGUAAACUGCAGUCUAGGUGUGUCAACUACACAUUGUACGGCAAAAUGAUCAUGGUCGUCGGCAUCAGAAGAUGGAAGAUGGAGAUUUCCUCGGCAACGACCACGUACGGCGGCGCACGGCGAACUUGUGACUGCACCGGCAUGAGAAUUACAUAAGGAUGGGGUUCCUGCUUCAGUGCGGCGGGACAACGAGGUUUUACGCUGCCACAUGACGAUGACAGCUGGAACCAUGUUACUUGCACAACUGCAGAGAUGAAUACAUGAUCAUGCAUGGAUGGCGGACGUCCAUGAUUUAUGUCUGGCAUCACGUUCACAUGCAUCAUGUACGCACUACAUGUGGUACAUCAUACCAGAUGAAUCAAUUAAUAGUAUAUAAAUAAAGUUGCUCAUUUUUCGAAACAAAGUAUGUAAUAUUUCAUAGCCUUUUUUAGAACGGAUUGGCACACGGUCGCCAACCUAUACAUAGCUCAAGUUUGUAAGGCAUGCCGUCAAUUUAUUUUGUUCUCGCCGGGCCGGGCCGACCAUGGGUGUAUAUACGCCUUUUUAUGAUAUACUCCAUAACUUACAUUAUAUACUAGAUAUUUGAAACACUGUAUACUUCAUUAAAAGGAAAAUACUCCAUACUUUCUUACCAAAAUACAACAUAUACUACAUACUUUCUUAAAAGGAAAAUACUAUAUACUUCUUAUAAGAAAACAACAUACUACAUACUCCAUACUUUCUUAAAAAGAAAAUACUUCAUACUUUCCUCGCAGAAUACAACAUACUACACUCCAUACUUUCUUAAAUGGAGAAUACUACAUACUUUGUUAACAGAAUACAACAGACUACAUACACAUUACAUUCUUAUAAAAUUACUCCAUUCUGUAUACCACUCCUUUGAGUGUGCACAAAGUAAGAAUUGACCAUAUCACCAUAUAAUUCAUCCUUGCUGGUGGCAUAUAUGAUCAUACUCUCUUUUAUGACGUACUCCAUACUAUAUUGCUGCUACAAAUACAGUCCACUAUAUAUACUCUGUACUCUUAUUUUUAAACAUACAUACUAUUCAAAUAAAAAAUGCAGCCAUAUUCCAAGAAAGUAUGCCACCAGCAAAACUAUAUAGUAUUUUCCUUUUAAGAAAGUAUGUAGUAUGUAGUAUAAGCCUUGGUACAGUAGAAUUUUAGAAUUAUAUAAGCCUUGGUACAUGCCGCAUGGGAUUUUAGUAAGAGCAUGCCCGUUAGUACAAGUCAUCCACUCAGUUUGAUGCAUGCAUGCACGUAGUUAGCUAGCCCAACAUACUAUACUAUGUGUCAUACUAUACUAUACUACGUACAAUCAUUUUUGUAUAAAGUUCACACUCCAUACUACCUACUUCUAACAAAAACUACGAUCCAUGUAUAAAGUUUACAUACACUAUACUAUUCUGGCUACAUUUUCUUCCUCUGGGAAUAAUAGGCGUCACGUCCGCACAUGCUUAUCCAAUAAACUAUUUGAUCCAUGUAUGAAGCCUAGAUUUGAGGAAGUACUUGAACAACUUGCCGGAUUAUUUAAUAACAAAACUAAAUUAAUUGGUCCUAUUGGACUUCCAUAGAACCCGUUAACCGGAUCCAUCAAUCUAGUUGGCUUGGUGCUACAUGCAACGGUGUGGACACGUGGAGGGCAGCUAGCUAGGUGGUAACUACCACUGCUUGUAGAUAAAAUUUGUCAUAAUAUAUAUAUAUAUAUAUAUAUAUAUAUAUAUAUAUAUAUAUAUAUAUGAUCGGUUCUACGAGAAAUUCUAUUUAUAUAUAUAUGUGCAUAACGUGUACAAUAUGUAGUACCUAAAAUACCAACAAAUGAAAAAACAAUUAAAUGGAAAACACAAAAUUAAAAGAAAAAGAAAUCAUGAACCCAAAAUCCCCCAAAACUUCUAGUACCGGUUGGAGUUACGAACCGGUACUAAAGGUCUCCCCGCCCCCGGCACUGGCUCGUGCCACGUGGUGGCCCUUUAGCGGCGGUUCGUGCUGAACCGAUACUAAAGGGGGGGACCUUUAGUCCCCACCCUUUAGUGCCAGUUGCAGAACUGGUACUAAAGGGCCUUACGAACCGGUCUUAUAGCCUAGUUCUGCACUAGUGGAGGUUGACCACGGGGCCAUGUGCUAAGGCGUAUAUGAGGAUUUCGUCCGGACAUCCCUCUUCAGUGACUUAGUUAGAACUCGCUCUUUGAACCAACGCAAGAAAAUGGAGUUGUGCUCUCUAAUAACUUCGGUGUCCAUUUUGCACAGCCCAUCGGUGAUGGGGUUAUGUACCUAGGGUAGGGUCAUGGACCUGAUCCAAGUAACUUACCCCAGGACAUCCUUAGAAGAGGUCGCCUUCCAGUCGACCAACGAGGAUUCACUCGACUGGCCUGAAGAACUCGACCACGAAGACUCACUCGACCACCAGGAGGUCAAGAGGCACUCUGCACUGCAACGGCCUGUAAUCAAGUAGACUUUAUGAUAGUAAAGGCCUUUAUGUGGGGCGUUACCAGUAACGCCCCAGACUUAACUCACCUUAAACCCUCUCCUACGUGGGCUGGCUGGGGUCCUGGCGCACUCUAUAUAAGCCACCCCCCUCCACAGGCAGAGGGGUUCGGCACUUUGUAGUUCAUACACUCAUAAUCCACUCGACCGCCUCCGGGCUCCGAGACGUAGGGCUGUUACUUCUUCCGAGAAGGGCCUGAACUCGUACAUCCUUUGUGCUUACAACCUCUCCAUAGCUAGGACCUUGCCUCUCCAUACCUACCCCCCACUCUACUGUCAGGCUUAGAACCACGACAGUUGGCGCCCACCUUGGGGCGGGUGUUUUAGCGAUUUUGUGGAGAAGUUGCGAUUCUUCCGAGUACUUUCAUCAUGGUGUCUGCUGGAGUUUUGGUCGAGGGUCAAGAGAUCCGUCUCGGCACUCUCACCUUCAUCGCCAACGACUCCACAUGGCUCCAGGAGGCUCCACUCGACGUAGAUGCGCUCCCCGUCCGCGGUGCGACGCAUUUUCGUGCAUGUGUCCGCGGCGUUCUGCUGCGGCAACCGUCGACCCAGUAUCGGUCGGCUCCUCCAUCGUCCACCCUCCCGGUCUCCCGCCAGCGCAAGCGCUCAGGCCGGUCGAGGCUUCAGCGAUGGGUGAGUCACGCGGUGGCUCGCCAAUCGGCCACUACCCAAGUUGCGGCAAUCGAGCCCAACGAAUCUCUCUACGGCUUGUUCGAUCAGUCGACUGGCUCCGUAGAGACUGCAUCCGAGUGCGGAAGCAGUGAUCCAGCGGCGGAAAUCUUGAUGGUCGACGGGCCCCACAGCCCUCCUGGCUUCGCCCGUGGUGGUGGAGCAGGUGACGGCGGCGACCCUGCACGAGGCUACGAAGAGUACCAGCCCGAGCCACUCGACUCUCUGCAAAGAGAGGAACUUCGCCGCAGGAACGAGGAUCCCCUGCGUAUUCCCAUCGCAGGAGAAACCCCCGAGGAUCGUGCCUUGGAGGAGGCGCGUCUGGCCAAUUUGGCCGAGCGCACUCGACUGGAGAACCUUCAGCGAGCACUCGACGAGCGCGCGCGGCAACGAGUUCCCGACACCAGUCGACGUCCACUCUUCCCGCCGACUCAGGUAUAUCGAACCCCAAUUCAGAAUUUAGCAGCUGCGGCCCGUAUAGCAGAGUCCAUCCAGCCUUCGCAGUCGGAAGCUGGCAGAGGUUUGCUGCAGAUCAGGGAUCUGCUCCGGGCAGCAGGAGAUCAGAAUUCAGCCGUGUCUCAGUCGCGCAACAGAAUUCACAGUCGAUCCGUCACUGUGAAUACGGUUCAGUCGGCUCACAGCCCCAGAUCGCCUCCGCGGCGCGAAGGGCGUGAGAAUCGGCGAGAUCAAUAUGGCGACAGACUCGACCGAGAUGAUAGGCGUCGAGUGCCCUAUUCCCCUCCGAGGGGUGGGUCUUACGCUCCUCGGCAGCCAGAUGAUAGGCGUCAGUACAGUACAGGGCGUAGGGUUCCAGUUGACCCCAGAGAGCCAGGCUUCGACGCGCGAUCCAUUAUCAUGCAAGGGUUGGUCGACCGGAACAGAGCCCAUCGAGGCGCACUCGACAGAGAUGUACCCACAAGCAGUCGAGUACAUGUUUCUGGUCCUGAAUGUUUCAGCAGAGCUAUCAGAGCCGCAAUUAUCCCCCCCAAUUUCAGGUUGGCAACAGGAGUCAGCAAGUUCACUGGUGAGUCUAAGCCUGAAACUUGGCUUGAAGACUACCGAGUGGCAGUUCAGAUUGGUGGUGGGAACGACGAGGUGGCCAUAAAGCAUUUAUCCCUCAUGUUGGAAGGUUCUGCCAGGGCAUGGUUGACUCAAUUACCUCCUAGCAGCAUUUACACUUGGGAAGAUCUGUCCCGAGUGUUCAUCAGAACGUUUAAAGGGACUUGCAAGCGACCAGCUGGAUUGACAGAGUUGCAAGUCUGCGUGCAGAAAACUAAUGAGACUCUCAGAGAGUAUAUUCAGAGGUGGAUCACUUUGCACCACACUGUAGAGAAUGUGUCCGAUCAUCAAGCAGUCUGCGCCUUCAAAGAUGGUGUCAAGAACAGAGAACUGAGUUUGAAAUUUGGUCGAACCGGUGACAUGACCUUGAGUCGGAUGAUGGAGAUUGCUACCAAGUACGCCAACGGUGAAGAAGAAGACCGACUCCGAAGCGGCAAGCACAAGCCGAGUCAGUCGGAAAAAGGAAACACCAGUCGGAAACAGAAGCGGAAGGCUGAACCGGCAGCUCCUGGAGAGGCUCUGGCCGUGACUCAAGGAAAGUUUAAGGGGAAACCAAAAGGAUCCUGGAACCCCAAGAAGGUAAAGGAUAAAGAAGGGAACGACGUGAUGGACAUGCCAUGUCACAUUCACACGAAGAAAGACGAAGAGGGGAAUAUCAUUUACCCAAAGCACACCACUCGCCAAUGUCGACUCCUGAUCCAGCAGUUUCAGGGGAAACAGUCUAAGGACAAGGAGAAGGAGUCGGACAAGGCCGAAGACAAAGAGGACAGUGAGGGAGGAUAUCCGCAUAUCAACUCCACUCUGAUGAUCUUUGCAGAUGUGGAAAGCAGAAGUCGACUGAAAGUGAUUAACCGAGAGGUGAACAUGGUUGCCCCAGCAAAGGCAAAUUAUAUGAAGUGGUCUCAAACACCCAUCACAUUCGACCAAUCUGAUCACCCGACUCAUAUUGCCACCCCUGGGAGGCAAGCUUUGGUGGUCGAUCCAGUUGUCGAAGGCACUCGACUGACAAAGGUGCUGAUGGAUGGUGGAAGUGGGCUGAACUUAUUGUAUGCUGACACAUUCAAAGGUAUGGGCAUUCCGAUGUCCCGACUGAGCACUAGUAACAUGAGCUUCCAUGGAGUUAUACCAGGGAAGAAGGCCGAGUCACUCGGCCAGAUAGCUUUGGACGUGGUGUUUGGUGAUUCGAAGCAUUUUCGCAAAGAAAAGUUGACGUUUGAGGUCGUGGAUUUUCAGAGUGCAUAUCAUGCCAUUUUGGGGAGACCAGCCUAUGCACGGUUCAUGGCUCGACCAUGUUACGUGUACCUCAAAUUGAAGAUGCCCGGUCCCAAAGGUGUGAUCACUGUCACCGGUGAUAGGAAAAAGGCAGAAGAGUGCUUUCAGAAGGGCUCCAAGAUUGCCGAUUCCCAGGUGACAGCAGUCGACUUCGAAGAAUACAAGCAAAACGCAGAUCUGAGUGACUUGCUGCGAUCCAAGAAGCCCGCCACAGAGUCUGCAUUCCAGUCGUCCGGUGAGACGAAGCCUGUUCACAUUCACCCGACCGACCCCGAAGCAGCUCCGACCCGCAUCUCCACGACACUCGACCCAAAAUAGGAAGAAGCGCUCAUCCAGUUCCUCCGUGAGAACUGGGACAUUUUUGCAU
rnacentral:lncRNA from 1 species